CUCCAAAGACGUUCCUAAGGGAAUGCAGAGCUUACAGCGAAAAGUCAACGCUGAUUCCGCCAAAAGUAAAGGCGAAGAAGCUCCAAAGUCGUUCCUAAGGGAAUGCAGAGCUGAGGUGUGAUUGUCUUUAAGAAAAUAAUGGCUAUGAAUAUAGCUUCGGAUACGUGUUUGGCCAUUCAUUUGCACAUCACAUUACAUCAUAGCAUCUGCAUUCAUAAACAUUCAUCUAGGCAUAUGUAGGAUAAUCAUCUUCAUCGCAUAAAUGGUUGCUUCGGCAAAAAGAGAAAAAAGAAAGGGAAAAAAGAGCUUCGUACACAAAGAAGAAAGGAAAUGUUGUUUUCUAUGCUUCGCUGCGUACGAAAAGAAGGGAAGGUGUUUUUUCGCCUUUCGGCUCAAAAGAGAAUUUCGUCCACAUCAAAGCAUUUCUCAUACAUCAAUGGAAGGAUAAGGAUAUAUAACAAGGUAUGAAUAUAUUUCAUCAAAGACAAGUUUUGGUUACAUUUACAAAAGUUAUCUCAAAAGUUUUUUAAGUACUGUCUACAGACUACUAUCUCCAAGGAGCUUCGGUUUCGGCGUUAUUUUUGAUCAUCAGCUUCGGCUUCGUCAUCCUACAUGAAUAAGGUCGUUGGAAGUCAAAAUCAAGUUUACAGGAAAAGGUAAGCAUAAGGUAUGGUUUCUUACUGGAUCAAGAUGGCUACGAGCUUCGUCUCCAGCUUUCUCCCGACCACCUUUUGUCCAUAUCAUUUUUACAAAUCGAUUUGAAAUGCUUCGGGCGAGAUCAGGGAUGUCAUCCAGGAUUGAUGGUGACAAAGUGAAAUUUGGCCUAUUGACAAUCUUCCCAUGAUCACAGCCAGCCUUCAGGAAGGCUGCAGCAGUCCCUCGAGAAGCCACCCAGGCACAGAAGUCACCAUGCCCAGCUAUGACUUCGUCGAGCUCGUCAAUCUCCCCCUCAAUAUGUUCGAAGGUUUUCGGUAGAUCUUCAGCUGAGGGGGUAAAUUUUUCGCUGCUGGCUCCAACUGAGUAAAAAAUCUUUCUUAAUCGUUGAAUGCAUUUAUUGCUAAAUUCCAGGCAUUUUUCUUGAAGAUCUGUCAGUAGCUUUCUCAAAUCUGAGUUUUGCUGAGCUUCGACUUCAAGUUUCGCAUUAAGAUCUUGUCUUUCUCGUUCGAACUGCUCAGACUGGCGGAGAAGCUUCGUGUUCAGUUCUGAUAUUUUUGCUUCAGCUUCCGCCAAUAAACCUUCGGCUGCCUGGAGCUCAAAGUUCUUUUUCUCGAAAGCAUCUGAUUGCUCCUUUAUUUUACUUUCUAAAUUUCCAAUUAUAACUUCAUGCUUUUUAUCUUCAACAUCUUGUUGCAUUUGCAAGGCUUUGCUCAGCAGCAUACUCUACACAAACACAACCUUCGUCAGACAUGUUUUUAUUAGAAGCAAUAAAAGUUAAGGGACAAGUCAUUCACCUUGAAGUUGGAGUAAAAUAAACUACCAACGACAUGUUGUCGUCGGUAGCGGCUGAUGUCUGUUUCUAGCUUCGGGAAUCCAAUACUCUUGGACAGAGUACUGAUAACUUUGGCCCCUGUUUGGUCUCGAAUACACUCUAAUUUCUCAUCAUCAACGCCUCCGAAGAGGAGUGCCCCAGGUUUGUAUCCACAGGAUUGGGCAUACUCUUUAAGCUCUUCUAUUUCAGCUUUUGUUAGAUGUUCUCCAACUAAGUUUUGGAACGCAAAGGCUUCGUUUUCUGAAGCUUCAUCAGCAAUUUCUUUUCCUUUCUUUGACGCUGCGGUCACGGCCUCUUCGGCAGCAGUGGUAGCUUCUUCUGCAGCCAUGUCUAGCAGCAUUUGGUCAAUAUGUUCAAUUGUGCUCUCCAAAUUUAAAUCUUCAGCUGAGGCAACUUCGGCGGCUGCGGCCUCCGAAGGUGCAAUUUCAAUAUCUGCCCCUUCUGCAGCCAUUUGUGUUUUUUGGGCCGAAGCUCUUGGUGGCGUUUUGUCAAUUACCUCUGUCACGGUAAUGAUUCUUUGUUUCUUUGCCCUGAUUGUUUUCCUCGAUUUCUCGGGCUCCUUGUCCUUCUGAAAAAACUUUGUCAGUUGAGGACCCAGUGGACUUAGCUUCGCAGGUAAGGAUUCAGUCAUUACCUUCAGAAUUUCCUCAACAACAGCAGCAGAAGGUGAUGCAGGGGUUUCUUCUGCUUCGGAUGUUUGUUGCUUCGGAGAAGAAGUUUUCCUUUUCUUCGGAAUUUUCUUCUUUAUUGGCUCUUUUUCACCUUCAUCUAAGGCUUCAGUUACCCUUUUCCUUUUUUGGCCUCCGACACCUUUGUUCAGAUUUUCGUAGUCUGGGUAUUCGAAACCCAAGGCGUCCAACACUCGAUUUAGCCUUCGUUUCGGACGGGUGCCGAAGGCUGCGGUCAUCAAUUGAUCUUCCUUUUUGGAAUAAUUACCAAGUAUCUCAUUGCACAUCACUUCAAUCGUAUCCAGCCACUCUUGGCAAGGAGUUUUAAAGUAUUUCUUAAAUUUGAAGUAAUAAGGUAAACGUACAAGUUCACCUUUUUUCUUCUCCCCCUUCAGCUUCGGCAUUUCCCACUCUUUUACACUAGGAAAAACCUUGAAAGCCAGAAAUUCCUGGACCAAGUCCCUUGUACUGAUAUGCUCUGCAAUUAUUUUGAAUUCAUACAUUGCUUUUUGAGUAGGACCCUCUGGUAACAUAUGGCACUGGGGGCGGGUUUCUCCGAAGAUUAGUGCAAGAGGGCUUUGCACAAGCUUUUCCUUAUCGUCAUCAACCUUGACAUAGAACCAUUCCGAUUUCCACCCUGCUGCCCAUUUGCUUCGGUAGCUGAUCACAGGAUACUUCGUAGUUUUCCGAUAAGCAAAAUUAUAGCAACCAAAAUUCUCAUGUAAUCCAUCCUUUCUAGCCUUUGUCUGAUAGUGUAGUUCGUGAACUCGGCAAAAGCUGUCCGCAAACGGUUCCACCGCCUGGCUUCGGAGUGCCCAAAUAUAAACAUUAAGCCUAACGAUAGCGUUAGGGGUUAGCUGAUGAAAAUAGAUUCCAAAAUUCUUCAAUAUCUCUGCAAUAAUCCCAUGGAGGGGGAAUCUUAAUCCAGCCUUUAGGAAGCUCUUAAAAAUAACAAUUUCAUCUUUCUCCGGCUUUGGGGUAGUCUCUUCUCCCCCGAAGCGUAAUAGCUUCUUUUGAUUUUCAGUAAAAUAGCCUGACUUUACCAUCUUGGACAGAUCAGCCUUCGAAACAGUAGAUUUCCCGAAGUCCAAAUGGCUGGGUUUGCUUGGCGUGGCAAGGUGAUAAUCAUCUUCGGGGUCAGUUUCCUCAGCAUCUUCUCCUUCUGCUUCAGCGAUAGCUUGUUCCGCAUCAUCACUAGGAAUCUUUUCCGAAGUCACUAGCCCGGAUCGUUGCAUGGCUUCGGAGAUAGGGACAGUCUCCGAAGCUUCAGUUUCGUCCCCCUCACGCUCAACCCUGGCGGUAGAACGGACUCUGGCCAUUAAACUAUGAACUUGUGAAACUUUAAUACUUUUUUCCUCCGAAGCAGGUUUCAAGAUGGAGCUUCGUUCAAUUCCGACAAACAAGCUUCGGCGACGGUUAAAAAUUUUGGCAGCAAAACAGUGCAAAUAGCAGUAAAUGCUGUGGUAACUUCACACCUACUCGUCUGUUUAUAUAGUGCCGCAGGUAAGAAGGCGAAGUGCCAGAAGUUUUACACCAGGUGGACACCCGCUCGCACUCGCUGUACGGUGGACCGCAGAGACCGAACAGUAACUCUGCAAGGUGGGGCCGCUACGCGCAGGGAGAUUGAAUCGUUUCUCGACAACGAGCUCAGGGAAGGUGUUUUUUAGACCUUCGGCUCUCCGAAGCUUAAGAGACUUUUUUCACGGAUCAAGCUCGUUACGAAAAACGAUCUAGCACCGCGAAAGGGGCUACUGUUGGGUUUAUGCUUCGUCGCCGAAGGUCUUAUAAGAAGAAGUGGUCCUCGGCUGAAGCUGUUUGUAUAAGAUAGCCGAAGGUUCUUCUUCGUGUAGCUUCGGCAUCAUCAACCGACUUAAAGAUAGAAUGACCCUUUAGUCCAUAAAGGUCUGAGUCAAUGUUGUAAGUUUUUAUAAGGGGCAUACUUGUAAUUCCUCAUAGGCUGCGUCCUGUGCCUAUAAAUAGUGAACAGUAUUCCGUUACUGUUCACGCAUUCUGGUAUUUGCAAUCGCAUCUCUCGGAAUUCAACCUUUGUCAAGGCAUAGGUAUCAUUGUAUUUGAUGAUUCAAUAUAUUAAGUGAAUAUAAUAUAAUGCAUUUGUGAUUCAUUCAACCAUUUUAUAUCUUUCGUUUUGUAUUAUCUUACAAUGUUUAUUGAAAGUUUAUUACGAAGGUUCAACUUCGUAAUAAUACUUUCACCAACCUUCGUCCAAGACUCAUUAUUCUCAAAGGAAUAAUGCUUCACGGACGAAGGACAGUAUCAUUUAACAUUUUAUGUUGCCUUGUUCUUAAUUCAUAGCAUUUGAGAACAAGUCCCCAACAAUUGAUUUUAGUAAAGGGUGCUUUAGAUGCACUUUUUUAAAAUCGAUUAGCUUUCCGGAAAUUUGACGUAGAUUCAGAAGUGGAACAGGACUAGUUAGUGCUCAGGUUUGCCCAUCAACUAAAAGCAAGCAAGCUGUUUGGUAGAUUGGCGUAUUUCAAGGAUCGGAUCGGCAUAUUGAAAUAGAGAUCUCUGGUGCUGGUUAGAUCCCAAGCGUGCCAUCGGAUUCUUUAGUUUAGCCACUAGGCGAGAGGGACUUUUCGAAUCAACCAUCGACUCUCCUGAUCUCCUGAGGGAAAAUAGGGUUGCCUAAUUAGUUGUGGCCCUAAGGGAAAUCCACUUUUUCUUCUUGGGUAUCGAGGGCAAAUCCGGUUGUUGAGUGAACUCGUGAAUCAAACAAAACCCUUCUUCUCGAACUGCUAGUGACCUACCGGACUUAGAACCUGGCCUGGCUUUCGAGAGGAGAGUGAAGUGGAAGCAUGAGUGCUUACACGAACAGAAGGAAGUAGAAGUAAGCAAGCCAUAUUUCGACCCGCUUCAUUGAACCUUAGAAUGGCAAGUGCUCUUCCUGAUGAAGCCCAGAAAAACGAUCUGUAGCGACAAGCAAGAAAACACUUUUCUGAUGAAAGUGAUUAUGGCUGCUAUGUCUCCUACCUUGCUAUCGAGAAUGGCAUUUCCAUUCCGGAAGAAUGAGAGAGAGGGAGUCUUCAACCAACUUCCUUGUUUUCUUAUCCGGGCUUAAACCAGAAACGAAGGAUCCUUACCUGCCACUACCAUAACUUUACUUAACUUAACUGCUCUUGCCAGCUAAAAUAUAUAGGACUCUUCUAAAGCAAGGAACACUUCACCAUCACCUGCAUCCCAUCAAGCAAGGCCUAAACGAACGCACCAGUACAACUACAUUAACUGCUCUUGUACAAAAGGCAGAAAGAAACCUCUCUACUCAAGCACUAGGCUAUACACUGUAAAACUAGACACACUCUUAUCCUUUCAGGCAGUGAUACCACUUCUCUGCAAGGCCAAAAGGAAGGUAUGAAGCAGGGUUGUUAUUUAGGAGUAGGAGGAUGAAGAAGAAGUUGUUUUUGUUAGAUUUAGGAAAUAGGAAGAAAGCAGAUGCUGGAUCCGAAGCAGGUUGCUAUUGGAGCUAGAGGAAGAAGAAGAAGAAGAAGAAAGCAGGAAGAAGAACAAUAAAGUUGUUAUUUGUUUUAUUUAGGAAGCUGGUUUUAUUAAGGAAGUAGUAGCAACCACUCCUCUUUUCAUUAGGUUAUACCAAUCACCCAUACCAGAUACGAAGGAAGCUGUACCUGUACCAAUUCCCUGCAAGGCAUCUUCAAAACCUAGCAACAAAAACCAAUACCAGCCCCGCACCUUCACCAAAACCCAUUCUUCUCAAGGAAGGUUCCUGUACCUUUCCAUUACUAGUAAAAAGAUAGCUAUAGUGAUAGCACUUCCCUUCAAGGAACCAACCAUUAACAAUACCUGUACCAAUACUUAUCAAGCUUGUAAAGCUAGGAUAAAUGAUGCCACGCUUCUUCCCUUCCCUGAACGAUCCAUUACAGGCUACCACUACUGGCUACCUUUACUUUAAAGCACUGUACUAGACUAGAGUAGACUUCCAAAACAGUUCCUACUGAUCCGUAUACCAAUACCUUACUUUUAAGAAACGAAAGUGCAACGGCUUUCGAGUAAUAAAGAACCUACUUUGCCAGCCUUGAGAAGGGAAUGACCCUAGAGCCCAAGCAAACCAUCUACGCAAGGCCGAAAACCCGCCAAUCAAACCGCUAAAGCAAAUGGGCAAGAAGGUUGAGCUGAUGUAAAUAGUAAAGGUCGGAAGCUCUAGCUUAUGAAGACUCAUGUUUUGUCUUGCCUGUGUCAGCUUCCAUCUCCCGAUGUUGCUACUCGUAUCCAUUCCUCCGUCUAUAAACGACGUAAAAAAGAAGUACCAUUCUUUCUCAAUACUAGAUUCCCUUAUCCAGUGCAAGAUGAAGGGAUUUAGUGCUCGGAGGGCAGAACCUGUCUGUCAAUUGGGCCCGAUCUAGCUAAUAAGAAGCAUCAAUAGAAUGGAGUGGAGAACGCAUAGACUCACAUCCCCAGCCUUACAGUAGACAAGGUUGUCGGAUCCACGGCUCUGCUAUUGGAAGCACUACAACGGAUAUCAUACUUCAUGGGCGAGGGGAGGAUGAGUAUGACAGGCCGAUACCAACUAGAAUUCAAAUCUGUAUGCCAAGAGUUUGAUCAACUUAUUCAGGUGGCCAGAUAGAAGUUUUUAGAGAAAAUGGAGCCGGGUUUCCCUUUUUCCCAAGGGGAGACUGUGCCUAUGGCCUCUCUUUCUUAACGCUUACCAGGGUCUUGACUAUCUCAUCGAAGAGUGGUCUAGUCAUGCCUCGGAUUCUUGCUUCAGCAGGAAAGAGUGGCAGAACUGACUCACAAGCAGGCGGACAAGCGUCGUUCUGAAAACACCAUUCUCGAAUCCAUCCUUGCAAUACUCAAGCCAAGCUAACAACCCUGCCGCAAGAAAUUCCUAAAGAGGAUCUUUGUUACUUAUGGAUGCAAGAGAAAUGGAACCAAUUUCCUCCUAGAAACCAAACUACUUACUAACCGCCAAUACGGACAGCUAAGAACUAUGGUGAUACGUCCACAACAUCUCGAUAAGUGCCAGGUCAUCUUCUGUGGGGAACUGCCCACAAUGAAGUUCCCGCAGCAAGUGCCGGAUUUGUUUAAAGGAUUUUGGAACCCUCUUUUUCCUAACAUAAGAAACCCAGCAUAGUCCCACUAGAAAGGAUUAUUAUUGAUUCCACUUACGGGUCUUUACCAGGGCAGCACAUAAGAAGCAAGAUCCGUCUGUAUCUUUUUCCUUGGUUGGAUCGAUUUCUGGAACUGUCGGCGUUUCGAGACCGGGGGGUCCCUAAGCCGACGAGUGAGUGUGCCGCGUGCCCCAGCCCAGAUGGGUCGAGCGCGUGGGCGAGCGCGAAGGGGGGAAGCGAGGUGGCCGGAGACGGGCGUGAGAGAGGUGGAAAUCCCGCGGCCUUCAUGUUCGUCCCGCGCCCAGGUCGGGUGCGCUUGCAGUAGGGGGUUACAAGCGUCCACGCGGGUGAGGGAAGCGAGCGGCCCCAAGAGAGCGCCUGUCUCGUCCUCGUCCCCGCGCGGCCAACCCUCUCUAAGAGGGCCCUGGUCCUUCCUUUUAUAGGCGUAAGGAGAGGAUCCAGGUGUACAAUGGGGGUGUAGCAGAGUGCUACGUGUCUAGCGGGGGAGAGCUAGCGCCCUAAGUACAUGCCAAUGUGGCAGCCGGAGAGAUCUUGGCACCCUGCUGGUGUGAUGUCGUGGCUGUCGGAGGAGCAACGGAGCCUGGCGGAGGGACAGCUGUCGGAGCGGUUGAGUCCUUGCUGACGUCUCCCUGCUUCCGUAAGAGAGCUGAGAGCCGCCGUCGUCACAGGGCUUGCGAGGCGCCAUCAUUGCCUAUCUGGCGGAGCUAGCUAGAUGGGACACCGGUCUUGUUCUCUGCGGCCCGAGUCGGCUCGGGGUAGGGUGAUGAUGGCGCUUCCUGUUGACGUGGCGGGCCUGUGCCCUAGGUCGGGCGAUGUGGAGGCUCCUCCGAAGCCGAGGUCGAGUCUGUCUUCCAUGGCCGAGGCCGAGCCCGAGCUCCUGGGUCGGGCGAGGCGGAGGUCGUUCGGCAGAGGCCAGGGCGGAGUCCGAGCCCUGGGUCGGGCGAAGCGGAGUUCGUCGUCUUCUGGGGCUGAGCCCGAGUCCGAGCCCUGGGUCGGGCGGAGCGGAGUUCGCCGUCUUCCGGGGCUUAGCCCGAGUCCGAGCCCUGGGUCGGGCGGAGCGGAGUUCGCCGUCUUCCGGGGCUUAGCCCGAGUCCGAGCCCUAGGUCGGGUGGAGCGGAGUUCGCCGUCUUCCAGGGCUUAGCCCGAGUCCGAGCCCUGGGUCGGGCGGAGCGGAGUUCGCCGUCUUCCGGGGCUUAGCCCGAGUCCGAGCCCUGGGUCGGGCGGAGCGGAGUUUCCUAUGGCGCCUUCGGCAGGGCCUGACUGCCUGUCAGUCUCACUCUGUCAAGUGGCACUGCAGUCGGAGUGGCGCAGGCGGCGCUGUCCUUCUGUCAGACCGGUCAGUGGAGCGGCGAAGUGACGGCGGUCACUUCGGCUCUGCCUGGGGGCGCGCGUCAGGAUAAAGGUGUCAGGCCACCUUUGCGUUAAAUGCUCCUGCGACUCGGUCGGUCGGCGCGGCGAUUUAGUCAGGGUUGCUUCUUAGCGAAGGCAAGGCCUCGGGCGAGCCGGAGAUGUGUCCGCCGUAAAAGGGGGGCCUCGGGCGAGACGGAAAUCCCUCGGGGUCGGCUGCCCUUGUCCGAGGCUAGGCUCAGGCGAGGCGUGAUCGAGUCGCUCGUAUGGACUGAUCCCUGACUUAAUCGCACCCAUCAGGCCUCUGCAGCUUUAUGCUGAUGGGGGUUACCAGCUGAGAAUUAGGCGUCUUGAGGGUACCCCUAAUUAUGGUCCCCGAUAGUAGCCCCCGAGCCUCGAAGGGAGUGUUAGCACUCGCUUGGAGGCUUUCGUCGCACUUUUUUGCAAGGGGACCAUCCUUUCUCGGUUGCAUUUUGUUCCGGUGGGUGCGCGCGAGCGCACCCGCCGGGUGUAGCCCCCAAGGCCUCGGAGGAGUGGUUUUACUCGCCCGAGGUCUUAAUGCCUUGCGUAAUGCUUCGGCUGGUCUGGUUGUUCCCUCAUGCGAACUGGCCGUAGCCCGGGUGCACGGUCGGGGCCCAAUCUCUCGGGCUGGUAUGUUGACGCUGUCAAUGGUUCGGCCGGAGCCGGGUUUGCGAGAGCAGCCCCCGAGCCUCCGCACAGGGCGAGAGGGCGAUCAGGGACAGACUCGGCUUUUUUACAUACGCCCCUACGUCGCCUUUCCGCAAGGAGGAGGGGGGAGAGCGCCAUGUUACCCUCGAUGGGCACCGAACAUGGUGUCUCCGGUGAGCUGCAAGCGGGUAAUCCGAGUGGACGUCCGUGCCCCGUUCGUUGGGGGUCGGCUAGGGGCCCAGAGGCACGCCCAAAAGUACCUGCGGGUGAUCUGCCGGACCCGGUCCCCUGGCGACGGGGUCCGAGGGCUCGAUGCCUCCCUCCGAUGGGAUUCCGUUACAAGAUCGUUCCCGCUGGUCUCGGAAAUGUCCUAGGGUACCUCGGGAGCGCAGCCCGAGCCUUGGUUAUGUAUCGAACGUACCCCUGGUCAUCCCUCGCUCGGCGUCUGAGGCGACUGUGAACCCUUCGGGGGCCAGCCUUCGAACCCCUGAUCAGUAAUGGGCGCGGAGCCCGAGUAGCCUGAGGCGGCCGUGGAGCCCUUCGGGGGGCCGGCCUUCGAACCUUUGACCAGUAGUGGGUGUAGGGCCCACGCGAUCUGAGGCGACUGUUGAACCCUUCGGAGGGCCAGCCUUCGAACCUCUGAUCAGUAGGGGGGGCUCGGAGCCCGGUUCCUUCACAGGGAAGGAUCCUUUUCGGGGUAUCCCCCUUCCCCGGUCCCUGUUGCAAGAGAUAGAGAAAGAGGAAAAAAGGAUACGAAAUCGAACGACGUGGCGUACCUUUUUUGGCGCGGUUAUUACGGCGAAGGCGAAGCGUCGUCCGCUUCUCCUGCCAGAAGCGCUGCCUGUCCCGCCGCGGAGUUAAUGCGACGGGGCGAGUGGUUGGCAGGGCGGCCGUUGCGCGUGCGCGAGCCGUUCGAGGAACGGAUCACGGGCGCCCAGUCUUCACGCCGUGAGAGGGGGUUCUCUUGCUGCCCCUGGAUGGGACGUGAGUCUGGCCGACGACGUGACCGCUGCUCCCGCCCGCCUGCCACCGUCAUUACUGCCGGCCCACUUUCGGCUGCAUUGACCGUCGCGCCAGGCUGGCGCUGCUGGGUCGUGCGCUGGGCUGCCUCGAGUCGUGGUAUUGGUUCCGCAACCGAAGAGGCGCGGUGGUGGCGCAAGUGGCGGUGCAGUUGUUUGCAUGCAGCAUCUGGCGCGCCGGUUGCGUGACGCGUGGGCCUGGGCCUCCAUGCUGGCGUGUUGGGAGUCGGAGAAGCGUGUCCACCUGGCGCGGUUGCAUGCCGCCUGCAUGGCUGCCCGCCCCUUCCGCCCGUUGGUCUGGGCAAAAGUGGGGGGUCGCUUGUAACUGCUGGGCGGUUGUGUGCACCACGCGCGGCGGUUUGGCUUCUUCUCCUCUGAGCCGGUUUGCAUGACAUGCGGGACCCAGCCCCCGCGCCGCAGGGGAGGGCCUUGGAGCGUGUUGGAGAAGACUCAGCCCGUGACGUUUGGGGGCGCACGUAGGGAGAGUUGCCUUUAAAAGGAGGGCGACCCCUUUCGGAAGGCGACCAUGUCUUCUUCCUCCCUUAUGCGUCGCGUCUUUCCACCUUCCAAGCCCCCGGAUGGGGGGUACCCGCCGUCUUUUCGCCUCAUCGUUGGAGGGACGCAACUCCGUGGGAGUCGGUACCUUUCAGCCAUCGUUCGGCUUCAAGGAUUUUCAUCAUGCAGCCCGGCUGCACCCCUCCACCGGCGGUCACCCAAGACGGUGACCACCAGUUCCUGGGUGGGGAGAAGCAAGCCGGGCUGCGAUCUUGGUCCCACCCUCAGCUUCAAGGAUGUUCAUCAUCCUCGCUGGGGUGGGGGCCGGGCUGAGCCGGCGCUCUACCUCCCGCGCGGGUUCAUGGGUCACCCUCUCCCGCGGCGCUCGGGGGAGAGGGCGCCCACUGGCCCUGCGCGCGGCCCGGACUUCGACAACGCGGGGCUGGUCGACGGCGGGCGUCGUCACCUCCAGCGCGUCGGGCUUGUCGGCUUGGCUCCCGGCGGCCCCUCCUGCCGGAGGGCGGCUGCCGCGCCGUGUGCACGGGAGGACCACCCAAGAUGCCGCGCGCCGCUAGGGCGGCGUUCGUGUUCUGGGGUGGUCUUGCCUUUGCACCGGGAUGGCGCCCUCACGCGGAGGUCGGUGCCCCACUCGCCCGGGAGGAUUUGAGUGGGGAUCUGCCGGGGGGCUGGUGGCCCCUGCCGUCGGUGUCGAGGCGGAGGCGGCUCGAGAAGUCCCCAUCACCGACGGGGUCACCGCUACCAUCCGCGCUUCGGGCCUCCGGUUCUUCGUACUUGUCCUCGCCCCUCAAGCGUCGGUGGGGGCGAGGGCAAGUUUGCAGCAGCGCCCACCCUGAGGCCUGCGCUGCUGCGGCUCGAACAUCCGGAGCGGGGGUCAUUGUCGUCGUAGUCAGAGCGGGCGGCGGCGAGCCGCUCGUUAGUCUUCUGUUGCUCCGCAGGCCCACCCCAUCGAGUGGGGUUGUUCGUACCUGCGGAGGGGGAACCGGAGUUCCGUUUGUAAUGGCACUUUGAAUGCCAGUGUUUUUGUUCAUUGUGGCUGUCGAGGCCUGAACAUGUAUGUAAUUUUGGCACGGAGCCGUGUUUUUUCCUCAUUUUCGAGCACUAAGACUCGCCUGUUGAUUAUCUGAACCGCUUCACCAAGCAUGAGUCGCCCCGUGUUAAGGUGACGAGUGAGGUAUCCGUAUCCCGGAGGCGUAGGAAUCCCUCGGCUCGAUCGGCCUUGUUGUCUGAGGCUCCUCUAGCUUAGUUAAAGAGACCCCUUGGCCGCUCUUCGACGAGCCGAGGCCAGGGGUAGCGGUAUCAGCACGAACAGAGGCGGAGUUGGCUCGAAAAUGAAAACCUGGUUGGCCGGAGCCUAGCCGUGUUGUCCGUUAGCGGGACCGACGCCGGAGUUGACCAGCCGAGGCCUCGGACCGGGCUGGCGCCCUUGGAAGAUGGUUGGCCGAGGCCCCUGGGGUAACCGGCCGAGCCGCUUGCUCGGGCCGGAUUCCCGGAGAAGUCCCUGGACCGCGUCGCCGUCCGAGGCUGGGUCGGACCUUGCCGAAGGUGUCGUCGAUGCCGAGGGUGCUACAGCCCCCUUCCAGCGUGAAGACCCGAGCCUGCAGGAUCAGAUUGUCUUGUAGCGUGUGCCUUCUGUGGCCGCUGAGGCCAGAACACACACCCUCGCUGCGUUGUAAAGCUGCGUCUCUUUUCCUCUUAUUUCGAGUAUCUGGACUUUUUUGUCGGUAACAGGGAUGUUUGUGCGAGCGAGAGUUGCUUCUCGCGGAAGGUGAUGAGUGAGGUAUCCGUAUCCCGGAGGCGUGGUAGUCCCUCGGCUCGGUCGGCCUUGCCGCUUACGCAUACUUUCACCCGUCCAUGAGGCCUGUCACCGACUCAGUCGAGAAGGCUCGAAGGACCGCUUCGGCAGAAGAGCUUCCGAACGUAAAGACUUGUUCGGUCCGCGGAAUCACUUUAUCCGAACGCGAGUUACUUAUCGCAGAAGGUGAUGAGUGAGGUAUCCGUAUCCUGGAGGCGUAGGAGUCCCUCGGCUCGGUCAGCCUUGGCUGCUUACGUGUACUCCGUCGUUUUCAGGAUCCGCUUUUCGAAGUAGUCAGAAAGCACGGAAGACAUUCUGGCAGAAGAGAUCUUUUUUCGAGGAAAAUUUUAACGCAAAGAGGGUUUCCCCCCUUUUAGCCCCCGAGGGAGGGUCGGGCUUUGCCGAGGCGAGGCCGACCCUUCCUUGAUGACUAAACUUUGCGUGGGUGCUGUGACACCCCAGUGUCACUCAGGGUUUUUCUCAAAUGCCAAACCAAGAACCAUCAUUUUAUGUGAACCAAAGUAAGCAUGAGCAACAAAACAAUUUAAGUGAGAAAGAAUUCACCAAGUAUAUACUUAAAAGUGUCAUGAUCAACACAAUUGAGACUUUUGAAAGAUAAGAAUGUGCAAUCCUAAUUCAAAACCCUAAGUAAGCCCCAUGAACAAAAUUCAAGAAGGUAAGAAAAAGGGAAUGAAAAGUUUAAAAUUUUGAGUUGAGCCAAUUAUAUAAGUUAAAGUGUAUUUAUUAAGCAACAAGAAAGAUUCAGAAGGCUUAGCCAAAAUAACUCAAAUAAAUCCCCAAAUCAGCCCUUGAUCAAUGAACCCUUAGAGAAAUUCAGAUUUCUGAAUUUCAGACCUCUUCUCAAAGCUCAUCUGUGUUCUCUGUUUUUCCAAACUCAAAGCCAGAAGAUCCAAAUAUCAAAGUCGUGCCAAAUUACCUUGAACACAUUCUGGGAAAGUUUGAACUCAAACCAAAUUCAUUUGACACGGUUUUGGCGCAGCUUAACCUCGGGACCAGGCAUUCUGACACUGGCACCUUGGUGACGCUACAACUCCCUGUCCCUAGCCUAAAACCGCACGUCGUCCAUACACAAAAGACAAAGCUUGGUCUGGUGAACAAAUCCCUUGCAGUGAUCUUGCCCAAAUUCGCGAAGAUUUGCUCCCAAUUGGCGCUUGAACAGGGGCAGAGGCAACGAGAACACGUGUUCGACCGUGGCUGACACCCCUGGUUCACGCCCGUUCGCGCACCGCGCCUCCCAGUGCACGCCCGCGCGCACUCGCCGGUCCACGACCGCCCGUGCACCGCGCCGUGCCUAUAAAGCCUUCCCAGGCGCGCCCCACUUCGCCCCGCACUCACCCUCACCGGCCAGCCCCUUUCCCUUAGCUCCGGCGAGCUUAAUUCCGCCCGCCAUUGCCGCCAGAGCUUCGGCCACCGUGGCCAGCCCCCUCCAGCCAUCCUCUGGGCAGGCCAGUGCUUCGGCUAGCUCCGCCAGUAGCCCGUGAAGCUUGCCAAGCCCUCGGACCCGACCGGACUUCACCGGAGGCCCGAGAUCGACCUCACCGGACUUCGGUCUUCCGCCGCCGCGCGUGGACCGAGCUAUCUAGUGAGUCUACGCCCAAUUCCUUUCGCUCAUGUCUUCUCUGGCAUCCCGUGGACCUCCCUGACCCAUUUGAUUGAACUAUCUCGCCGUUACCAGGCCGGUCUCCUCGCCGCCGACGAGCAUCCCCGCCUGCACGCGUGGACCGACCGACUCCGGCCAUCUCCGACGGCGUUCCGCACACCGUUGUGAUCCCCGCGACCUCCCCUUCAUCCUCGACCACUUCACCGGAACAGUCUCGCCGCCGGUAAGCCCCUCCGCCCUUUUCUCCGCUGCGGCUACUGUUUAAGGUAGAAGAAGGACCUCGGGUUAGGAUUUGUAGAACCCGAGGGGUUUUCUGUAAUAUCAGUGACUCAUGUGAAUAGUAACCUAAGGACUGAUUCGUGAAGGAAACUUAGAAAACCCGCCAGGGACCCCGGUGCAAAGUGGAUUUCCAUUUAAUCUAUUCAGUUAUUCUUUUUAAAUAACCAGAGAACUUAGAAAAUUCAUAACUUGAUGAAAUCUUAAUAAAAAGUUGUCAAACCAAUUUUGCUAGCUCUGGAAUAUUAUGACCAAUCAUUUAAAAAUGGUAAACCCCACGCUUUCUGUUCAAAUUUUUAGAGUUUAAAAUUAAAAACAGAAACCCACUAAACCUUGUUUAAUUAAGGGAAAUUUGUUUUUCUUUUGUGCUGAGCUUAAGAAAAUUUGUAAAUGUUUAUACCUUAUUUAGACACUGUUUAAAAAUAGUAGGAACACCAGCAUUGAAAAAUAUGAUGUAGUUAUUCAUUUAAAGCUAUUUUUUCCAAAACUUAAAGAAAAUCAGAAAGGCCUUAGAAAUUAUGGAACAGUGAUUAAGAUUAUUUUUCCUAGUUUACUUAUGUAACAGAGAAUCUAGGAAAAAUACAGAGACCAUUAAUUUGGACCAGUUUUAAAUUAAAAUGAUUUGUCUAGCCUUAUAUAGACUGAAAAUCAAUUAUUAAAGAGGCAAAACUAAAACCAAAAUGCUUAAUAAAAAUCCAGUGAACUUAUAACCACCAGAGCCCCACUACAAAAAUACAGAGCACCUCAGCCCAACUUUUUAAAUAAGGAAAAUAAAUACAAAGUGAUAAUAAGGCAUUUUCCAAAUAAAUCAUGAACAACCUCUAUUAAUGUGAUAAUGGGCAACCAAAAAUUUGCUAAGUCCAUGAUGAGAUAAACCACCAGAGAAAAAUGCAAACCCAUGAAAAAGAAGUAAACCCAUACCUUUUGCUAGUAAUUUAUGAGAAAGGCCAUUUAAUUCAAAUAAUGCAAACCACCCCUUCCCUUAAGCAAAAAGAGGCCAAACUUCAGAAUGAUUGCUCUUGCACAAAAUACUAACUAGGAAAAAAUGAGAACUCUGUUGUUUGAUGUUUUUCAAAUAUAGUGGUAGUAGAAAGCACCCAUUUGGCUAGAAACUUUAAGAAAACCAUAGGAAAAUAAUUAAAAGGUAUUAAUGACUAGAAAUUUGUAUCAGGUCAUGUUAUAACACCUAAAAGCCAGCAAAAAUGAGUUUUAGAGAAUUACCUACUGUUAAAUAAUAGUUGUAGUUCAAAGCACCCGUUCUGCCCUAAAAUUUGGUAAUUUUGUCCAGAGAAAACCAUUCACUUUCUGAUCCCCAAAUUUUGAGACAGAGCAACACCCUCCAGUAACAAGCCACUGUAAUUUUUGCAGAAUUUUUGGAAUUUUAUAAAAGCAACUUGUAGUUCAAACCUACCCCAAAACAUUAAAAGAAUAAAAGAAAAGGAAAGAAGGAAUAAACCUCAUCCCAACAAGUCUAAAGUGAGAACUUAUCAUUUAUCACUAAGGCUAAGAAGAAUUCAGUGGAACCCCAAAAAUAAACAUACCCCUUACCUUAGCUAAGUAUAACCCAAUUUACCAAGUAUACCACUAAAGGGUUUUACAUAAGUAAAGUUAACUUGUUUAAACUCAAAAGAUCAUACAUCUUUAAAGUUGUAAUUUCUAAAGCACAUAUCAUAUCAUGCAUAUAUCUUACGCAUUGCAUUCAUUAGAUUGUAAUCUUGCCGACGGAGAGUACGUGCUCAUCCCCGAGCAAGGACCUGUCCAAGAAGAGGACCAGGAGCAGGCUUCAGAGGCUGCUAUUGAGGAUCUCCCCGCAGCCCCAGCAAUUGAAGGCAAGCCCCGGUUUUAUGCAUAACCAUGUUAUUAUAUGCUACUUUACUACACUUAAUGCUUGUAGGAUUGCAAUGUGCACUUAAGUGUAGGAGUUGCUUGAAACCUCUAGUUGCAUGAACUUAGGAUUCCUUUUUGAGAUGAAUACUAGUAUGCUAGGUCGAGUAGCUGCUUACUAAUCAGGAUCUCGGUAGAAGUCGAGUGAUUUUCUAGCACUCGCGCGAGGUCAGGAAUUGAUUGUAUUCACCUUGAUAACGGGAUUUAUAUUGGUCUAUGGACUUGGAUACAGGGAGGAUGCCUUGUCCAUGAGACGGGAAAAAUGAAUUAAGGAUUAAUGUGUGGAUACCUGAGUCAAGCUUUUGAACGUACUAAGCACAUACCGGGAAAAAUGGUAACCGGUAAACCUAGUACCUGAGUGAAGCCGGGUGCGGACUUUAUCCCUCAUGCGACCUGAGACUGGGUCUCCCAUGCUAGCUAUGGUGGGUACAAGUGCGGUCACUGCACGGCGGUAGCCGGGGUCAGUGGAGCAUUGUAUGCCAAGGCGGUGAGGCCUGGACGCGAACGGGGAAUCGAUGGGGACGGUUGUCAUGUGUGGGGUCGGAGUACCCUGACAUGCCGUGUGUUUAGGUUUACCUUGCAAGGUUAAAACUCGAUUCAAAUCGUCUACUUCUCGCAGCUAAUGAGACUGCUUGAUUCCUUGUACUGCAUCGAGUAAGAAGUGAAAUGUGGAUUAUAUGAGAUAACUUGUUGAUUGAGCUAAUUGCUUGUUACCAUGUAUGCUUAGAAGGAGCAAAUCUAGUUAAGUUAAUGAUGGUAGAAUUUGGAAAGCAAAAAAAAAAUUUGACUUUAGAAACAGCUAGUGCUUUUGGCAAACCAAACCCCUCAGCCAAACAGCUGCAUAGUCUAGAGGUAGAGGAGUAGACUCCUCACACCGGUUAAGUCUAGCUGAGUAUUAGUAUACUCAGCCUUGCUUGUGGCACCAUUUUUGCAGGUACCAUGCAGGAUUUGGUUGAUGGUGUGACUUGGCCUACCACCCUGCCACCGGGUUGGACGGUCGAGUGGGAUGUGGCUCCGGCAGGAGAGGAGCAUGAGGAGUAGUGGGCUAGGCCUUGCCCAUUUCCUCAUUACCGACGACAUCGAUUAUCCGCUGCACUUUAUUUUGUGAACCUUAUUUACUACUCAAAAACUCCGAUUUAUGUAAUAACUCAGUACUUAAUUUGAGGUUUCCUGUUUUAUUGUAUUUCUUCUGUGACUCACCUUCGAGUGGGAUUGUGGAAUUUGAUCCUGGUUAAGUGGCUCUAUCAGACUAGAUCUGAGGGACUGACGGGUUAUUCCGAUUUAAGUGUGUUACGACCCCUGGGGCGUGGCUUAGGCACUUAAGCUGGAAUAAUUCGGGCGGUUCUGCCACAGCUGGUAUCGGAGCAAAUUCCACCACAGAGAAGGACAAUAAACCAUGAAUACAAAUUUUCAAAAUCUAAAACUUGCCUAGAAACUACUACGGAUCGUCAGGACUAGAUCGCUAGACCUAGGACGAAAGGCCUUAGGCAUAGAGGGAGAAAUAGGUGGCUAAUUAAUUAGGCCCUGUGGGCCAAUACCUAUAUUUUAAGGAUGCCCUAAAAAGGCACCCUAUCUUUCUUUUGAGAGGCAACGUUUCUUACAGCAUGCAUGCAUUAUAAAACACAAAGAGGAAUUAAAAUUUGAGCUAACCCCUUUUCUUUAGAACCAUCCGGGCUCUCUUUUUCUUUUUCCUUCCACCAUAAUCUUUAUCUUUGAUUCCCUUCCGCAGAUGAAUUCACCCACCCCCGCCAGUGGAGGAGACUCUCAUCUCAGUUCUGACUUCCUUUCUCGCGAUGGCUUUCCUUCCAUCUUGUGGGAAGUGCUUAACUCCACCGGUUACCCUACGCCCCCUUUGUACACGGUGCAGUUGUAUGAGGAGCAUCGGGUACCUCGUUGUCGGGUCUGGCUGACUUUGGAGGCUCAUCCCCUUCAGCCGGGUUGGCGUUCUCUUGACUCUGAGACAAUUGGACUCAGGACGGACGACACCGUUGAGGCAGCAGCCAUGAAGACUCUGACGACUUUCUGUGGCUACCAUCCCCUGGAGAUGGUGAUGCACCCCUUGGGACUCUUCCCUGCUGAGAAGAAGGAUGAUCCCAUGUGGUGUAACCGCGUGAGCCAUGUGAAGGAUGUGUGGGCAAUGUAUCCUGACUUGGUUGGGAGGGUCACUGUUCAGUGCAUGAGUGCGCUGUACCGCCUUCAGGCCCUUCAGAGCGAUGCUAUGACACUUCUUGCUAACACCGCUCAGACUGCCAAGCUCACUCUCGACAGUCGGGAAGAUUUUGUGGUCGACCUAUCCACAGAGUUGGUGGAGAAGGAUCUGCAGGUGGAAAGGCUGAGCCAGCGUAUCGCUACCUUAGAGCAGCAAGUGGAGAUCCGAGACAACACUGUUGAUGUCUUGGAGAACCAGCUUCACGAUGUGCAGAGGGAACUCGAGGAAGCAAAUGACCACUUGGACAUGCACCACCUGGAGAUGGAGGCCAAUGAAGCAGGAAGCGAGGGAGAAGAGGCUCCCGAGGAGCUAGGACCAGCCCCUGGUGCAAAUGGGACUACCCCCGUGAUGCCUCCUUCACCCGUAUCCAGUGUCGCUUCCACCGCUCAGGGUUAAGCAGUCGCUUUGACAUUUUUAGGCGGAUAGAAACCUAUGCGAGCUUAGUAGUAUCACAUUUUGGACUAGGCUUAUGGGUACUUUCCCCUGAUUAAUGUAACCCUGUAAACUUUUGAUAUCUGUGGGAUCUUUGUCACCGUGUUAUCUUCAUUUCGAACCCAAUAUUAUGAUUAUGGCAUUUUUCCUUCCAUAUGAGAUGAUAUCUUGUCGUUCGGAAAUGUGAGUUGGGAUAACAAUGGCGACAAUCUCUGUUUUCAGAUGGCAGCUAGGCAGCGUCGCGGGCAGAACGAGCAAGUUCCCCCGCCACCUCCCCCAGCUCCCACAGUGCAGGAGCUGAUGGCCCAGCAGAAUGAGAUUCUGCGACAGCUCUUGCAGCGCCAGCCCCACCAACAGCAUCAUGGUGGAGGCCAGCAUCAGUGACCUCCGGCUAUGGCAACUUACCAGGAGUUUCUGAGCACGCAGCCGCCCUUGUUCACCAAGGCAGAGGAUCCGUUGGACGCCGACGUAUGGCUUCGCGUCGUCGAGUCCAAGUUUCCCCUUCUCACAGGAGACUGCCCUGAUGAGGCCAAGGCUCGCUUCGCCGCACAGCAGCUUCGCGGCCCUGCUCGGACUUGGUGGGACCACUUCCGUGCUAUGCUCCCCGCUGAUCGUGAAGUAUCUUGGGAGGAAUUCAAGACUGCCUUCAGAGGACACCACAUCCCAGCUGGCAUUCUUGAUCGGAAGUUGAAUGAAUUUCUGGCCCUCAAUCAAGGAACCCGCACGGUACUGCAGUAUGCGCAAGCCUUCAACGACUUAUGCCAGUAUGCAGGGUAUCAUGCUGAUUCUGAUGAGAAGAAGAGGGAUCGCUUCCGCAGGGGUCUCAAUACCAAGCUGCGGGAACGACUCAACACUGUCCGGGCUGAUAGCUUCAAUGAGUUGGUCAACAUGGCCAUCUCUCAGGAGGAUUGCAUUGUUGCUCACCGGGCAGAGAAGAAGAGAAAGGCACCAAUGGCAGCACCGUCCGCUCAGGCUCAGAGGUUCCGGAUUGUUUCUCACAAUCAGAGCAGGGGUUUUCAGCAGCAGGCAGGCAGAUGGGUGAUCAGGCCACCUCAGCAGCAGCAGCAGCAGGCACCCAACCGCUACCCAGCUCCCGCCCCAAGGAACAAUCAGCCCCCGCAGCAGCAGCAGUUCCGCCAGGGCAAUGGGAACAAGUGUUUCACUUGUGGCAAUGUGGGCCACUAUGCCAAGAAUUGUCCCAGGAACCAGCAGAGGCAGAUGCCAGCACCAAAUCAAGACAAGGGAAGAAAGCAGAAGGUGCAAGUCAGGCAAGGGAAGCUCAACUUCACUGCUCUAGAGGAAGUACCAGAAGGAGCUCCUAUCAUGACCGGUACCUUUUCAGUUUAUAAUCAACCUGCUUUAAUUCUGUUUGAUUCUGGUGCAUCUCAUAGUUUCAUUAGCCAAAAGUUCAGUGCUAAAUGCAAACUGCCAUUCUCUCACUCAAAAGGGUCAUUCGUGAUAGUCACACCUGGGGGUAAAAUUGCAACUAAUCAAUUAAACCAAAGUGUGCCUAUUCAACUGGGAAGCCACAUUAUCAAAACCACUCUUCUUGUGUUGGGAUUGGAAAAUGUGGACAUUAUUCUAGGGGCAAAUUGGAUGACCUUGCACCAAGUUGUGCUUGAUGUAGCCAGUCGUACCGUGGAAGUUAAUUCUCCUUUCUGCGGGAAUUUCACUUUGAUUCUGCCUAGUCAGGGUUCUUCUCAGUCAUGUGCUUUCUCUAUGACGGAGUUACCCCUGAAGAAGAUCCCAGUGGUCUGUGAGUAUGCAGAUGUCUUUCCUGAUGAAUUGCCAGGAAUGCCACCGGACCGGGAUAUUGAAUUCGCCAUCGAGUUGCAACCGGGAACGACCCCAAUUUCCAAGAGGCCCUACCGAAUGCCACCCGCUGAGUUGGCAGAGUUGAAGAAGCAGUUACAAGAGUUGCUGGAUAAGGGUUUUAUUCGCCCAAGCACUUCGCCUUGGGGAUGUCCAGCACUGUUUGUGAAGAAGAAGGAUGAAAGCUUGAGGCUGUGUAUAGAUUACCGCCCUCUUAAUGCGGUAACUAUCAAGAACAAGUAUCCUUUGCCUCGUAUUGAUGUUCUCUUUGACCAGUUGGUCGGAGCCAAGGUGUUUUCCAAGAUAGACCUUUGCUCUGGCUACCAUCAGAUCAAAAUACGAGCAAGUGAUAUUCCGAAGACGGCAUUCUCAACCAGAUACGGGCUAUAUGAAUUCUUGGUGAUGUCAUUCGGGCUGACAAAUGCACCAGCAUAUUUCAUGUAUCUGAUGAAUUCUGUUUUUAUCCCGGAAUUGGACAAGUUCGUGGUGGUUUUCAUCGAUGAUAUUCUGGUGUACUCAAAGAACGAAGAAGAACAUGCCGGGCAUUUGCAUGUAGUGCUUCAACGUCUGCGAGAGCACCACCUUUAUGCCAAGUUAUCCAAGUGUGAUUUUUGGCUAAAGGAAAUCAAAUUCUUGGGUCACACUAUCUCUCAGGCUGGAAUAGCUGUUGAUCCUGAUAAAGUGCAAGAGGUGAUGAAUUGGAGGCCACCAACGACUGUUCGCCAGAUUCGGAGUUUUCUGGGAUUAGCUGGUUAUUACCGAAGAUUUAUUCCGGACUUCUCUCGAAUUGCGAAGCCUAUUACUAAGUUGCUGAAGAAAGAAGUCAAAUUUGUGUGGAGUCAGAAGUGCGAGGAUGCCUUCCAUGCAUUAAGGCAGCAUCUGACCACAGCACCAGUGUUGGCGCAACCCGACAGCAGCAAGCCUUUUGAUGUAUAUUGUGAUGCCUCUGGCACCGGGCUAGGUUGUGUCUUGAUGCAAGACAACCGAGUCAUUGCUUAUGCCUCAAGAGCACUCAGGCCUCAUGAGCAAAAUUAUCCCACUCAUGACCUUGAGUUAGCAGCAGUGGUUCAUGCAUUGAAAAUGUGGAGGCACUAUCUAAUGGGAACCCACUGCAACAUCUUCACUGAUCAUAAGAGCCUUAAUUACAUUUUUACUCAGGCUGAUCUCAACAUGAGGCAGAGAAGAUGGCUAGAGCUGAUCAAGGAUUAUGACCUGGAGGUACAUUAUCACCCAGGGAAAGCUAAUGUGGUAGCAGAUGCCUUGAGUCGGAAGUUGCAGUGCAACUGUAUUCUGAUGGAUUCUCGUGUUAACACCUUGUGUGAUGAGUUGAGCAAGAUGCAAAUUGAAGUGAUUCCUUCUGGUUCUUUGUCUCAAAUUGCUGUUGAGCCAGCUUUGCAAGACCAGAUUAUCAUGGCCCAGCUCAGUGACAAGGGAGUGCAAAUUAUCAAGAAGAAUCUCCAUCAGAAGGUUGAGAAGUAAAUUGUUUCCGCCAGGAUGAGAAAGAUGUGUUAUGGUUCAAGAGCAGAUUGGUGAUUCCUAAGGACCAGGAUCUCAAGAGGAAAAUUUUGGAUGAGGCUCAUCUCUCCAAAUUCUCUAUGCAUCCGGGAAGCACCAAGAUGUACCAUGAUUUGAAGCUUUUGUACUGGUGGACCAGAAUGAAGAGGGAGAUAGCCCAGUAUGUAUCAGAGUGUGACACCUGUCAGAGUAUAAAGGCAAGCCACUUGAAGUCCGCUGGAGCUUUGCGACCACUGUCCGUACCUUCGUGGAAGUGGGACGACAUCAGCAUGGAUUUCAUUGUGGGUCUGCCCAACACCUCUCGUCAUCACGAUUCAAUUUGGGUUAUUGUGGACCGAUUGACGAAAGUGGCACAUUUUCUUCCUGUGCACACCACUGAUAAGGCUCAGAAAUAUGCAGAAUUGUAUAUCGACCGGAUCGUGUGUUUGCACGGAUUACCACAGACCAUUGUUUCUGACCGAGGAGCCCAAUUUGUUGCCAGAUUUUGGGAACAAUUGCAAGAGUCUUUGGGAACCAAGCUAAUCAGGAGUUCAGCUUACCACCCACAGACUGAUGGUCAGACGGAAAGGGUAAACCAGAUUCUGGAGGAUAUGCUGAGAGCUUGUGUGAUCGAUUGUGGCAAGAACUGGGAUAAGCACCUCUCCUUGGCAGAGUUUGCUUAUAACAAUAGUUAUCAAUCCAGCCUAAAGAUGGCACCUUUUGAAGCUCUCUAUGGAAGAAGGUGCAGGACACCACUCAAUUGGUCUCAACCUGGUGAAAGAGAAGUUUUUGGACCUGACUUAGUGACUGAAGUCGAAAGGAAGGUCAAGCUAAUCAGGAAGAAUCUAGAAGCUGCUCAGGCCAGGCAGAAGAGCUACCAUGAUAAAAGAAGGAAACCUCUCCAGUUCGAGGUGGGAAGUUUCGUAUACCUCAAGGUAUCACCCACCAAGGGAGUGCAGAGGUUUGGGAUCAAAGGCAAGCUAGCCCCUCGUUACAUUGGACCUUAUGAGAUCAUAGAAGCAUGUGGACCCGUGGCAUACAAGCUGAAGUUACCUUCAAAGAUGUCUGCCAUUCACAGUGUAUUCCAUGUAUCUCAGCUAAAGAAGUGUGUUCGAUUGCCGACUGAGAUCAUAGCAGAGCCAGAAUUGGAGAUAGAGCCAGAUCUCUCGUACCAAGAGUACCCCUCCAAGAUUCUGGAUUGCAAGGAAAGAUCAACUCGGGCUAAAUCGAUCAAGAUGUUCAAGGUCCAGUGGAGUAAUCACUCAGAGGAGGAAGCUACUUGGGAAACCGAGGAAUUCCUGAGAUCCAACUUCCCCGAUUGCCUACCUAAGGAAACUGGUACGUAAUCACCCCCAACCCCUCCUCCUGCCUUUCGAAUCUAAUUUCCAAAAAUAUGAUCUUAAUUCAGAAUGAAGUAACUAUAAAGUAAAACUUAAAAGGACUUCCUUCUGAAGUUGCAAAGAGAAUGACAUUCGAAGAGCAGUUUUGCCCUAAUAAUAACAAUCAUCACCCUUUUUCCUAUCAGUCUCACCCUUCGCUUCACCCCGGGAGGACUCUGGCCUGAAUCUCGGGACGAGAUUCCUUUAAGGGGGGAAGGCUGUGACACCCCAGUGUCACUCAGGGUUUUUCUCAAAUGCCAAACCAAGAACCAUCAUUUUAUGUGAACCAAAGUAAGCAUGAGCAACAAAACAAUUUAAGUGAGAAAGAAUUCACCAAGUAUAUACUUAAAAGUGUCAUGAUCAACACAAUUGAGACUUUUGAAAGAUAAGAAUGUGCAAUCCUAAUUCAAAACCCUAAGUAAGCCCCAUGAACAAAAUUCAAGAAGGUAAGAAAAAGGGAAUGAAAAGUUUAAAAUUUUGAGUUGAGCCAAUUAUAUAAGUUAAAGUGUAUUUAUUAAGCAACAAGAAAGAUUCAGAAGGCUUAGCCAAAAUAACUCAAAUAAAUCCCCAAAUCAGCCCUUGAUCAAUGAACCCUUAGAGAAAUUCAGAUUUCUGAAUUUCUGAAUUUCAGACCUCUUCUCAAAGCUCAUCUGUGUUCUCUGUUUUUCCAAACUCAAAGCCAGAAGAUCCAAAUAUCAAAGUCGUGCCAAAUUACCUUGAACACAUUCUGGGAAAGUUUGAACUCAAACCAAAUUCAUUUGACACGGUUUUGGCGCAGCUUAACCUCGGGACCAGGCAUUCUGACACUGGCACCUUGGUGACGCUACAACUCCCUGUCCCUAGCCUAAAACCGCACGUCGUCCAUACACAAAAGACAAAGCUUGGUCUGGUGAACAAAUCCCUUGCAGUGAUCUUGCCCAAAUUCGCGAAGAUUUGCUCCCAAUCGGCGCUUGAACAGGGGCAGAGGCAACGGGAACACGUGUUCGACCGUGGCUGACACCCCUGGUUCACGCCCGUUCGCGCACCGCGCCUCCCAGUGCACGCCCGCGCGCACUCGCCGGUACACGACCGCCCGUGCACCGUGCCAUGCCUAUAAAGCCUUCCCAGGCGCGCCCCACUUCGCCCCGCACUCACCCUCACCGGCCAACCCCUUUCCCUUAGCUCCGGCGAGCUUAAUUCCGCCCGCCAUUGCCGCCAGAGCUUCGGCCACCGUGGCCAGCCCCCUCCAGCCAUCCUCUGGGCAGGCCAGUGCUUCGGCUAGCUCCGCCAGUAGCCCGUGAAGCUUGCCAAGCCCUCGGACCCGACCGGACUUCACCGGAGGCCCGAGAUCGACCUCACCAGACUUCAGUCUUCCGCCGCCGCGCGUGGACCGAGCUAUCCAGUGAGUCUCCGCCCAAUUCCUUUCGCUCAUGUCUUCUCUGGCAUCCCGUGGACCUCCCUGACCCAUUUGAUUGAACUAUCUCGCCGUGACCAGGCCGGUCUCCUCGCCGCCGACGAGCAUCCCCGCCUGCGCGCGUGGACCGACCGACUCCGGCCAUCUCCGACGGCGUUCCGCACACCGUUGUGAUCCCCGCGACCUCCCCUUCAUCCUCGACCACUUCACCGGAACAGUCUCGCCGCCGGUAAGCCCCUCCGCCCUUUUCUCCGCCGCGGCUACUGUUUAAGGUAGAAGAAGGACCUCGGGUUAGGAUUUGUAGAACCCGAGGGGUUUUCUGUAAUAUCAGUGACUCAUGUGAAUAGUAACCUAAGGACUGAUUCGCAAAGGAAACUUAGAAAACCCGCCAGGGACCCCAGUGCAAAGUGGAUUUCCAUUUAAUCUAUUCAGUUAUUCUUUUUAAAUAACCAGAGAACUUAGAAAAUUCAUAACUUGAUGAAAUCUUAAUAAAAAGUUGUCAAACCAAUUUUGCUAGCUCUGGAAUAUUAUGACCUAUCAUUUAAAAAUGGUAAACCCCACGCUUUCUGUUCAAAUUUUUAGAGUUUAAAAUUAAAAACAGAAACCCACUAAACCUUGUUUAAUUAAGGGAAAUUUGUUUUUCUUUUGUGCUGAGCUUAAGAAAAUUUGUAAAUGUUUAUACCUUAUUUAGACACUGUUUAAAAAUAGUAGGAACACCAGCAUUGAAAAAUAUGAUGUAGUUAUUCAUUUAAAGCUAUUUUUUUCCAAAACUUAGAGAAAAUCAGAAAGGCCUUAGAAAUUAAGGAACAGUGAUUAAGAUUAUUUUUCCUAGUUUACUUAUGUAACAGAGAAUCUAGGAAAAAUACAGACACCAUUAAUUUGGACCAGUUUUAAAUUAAAAUGAUUUGUCUAGCCUUAUAUAGACUGAAAAUCAAUUAUUAAAGAGGCAAAACUAAAACCAAAAUGCUUAAUAAAAAUCCAGUGAACUUAUAACCACCAGAGCCCCACUACAAAAAUACAGAGCACCUCAGUCCAACUUUUUAAAUAAGGAAAAUAAAUACAAAGUGAUAAUAAGGCAUUUUCCAAAUAAAUCAUGAACAACCUCUAUUAAUGUGAUAAUGGGCAACCAAAAAUUUGCUAAGUCCAUGAUGAGAUAAACCACCAGAGAAAAAUGCAAACCCAUGAAAAAGAAGUAAACCCAUACCUUUUGCUAGUAAUUUAUGAGAAAGGCCAUUUAAUUCAAAUAAUGCAAACCACCCCUUCCCUUAAGCAAAAAGAGGUCAAACUUCAGAAUGAUUGCUCUUGCACAAAAUACUAACUAGGAAAAAAUGAGAACUCUGUUGUUUGAUGUUUUUCAAAUAUAGUGGUAGUAGAAAGCACCCAUUUGGCUAGAAACUUUAAGAAAACCAUAGGAAAAUAAUUAAAAGGUAUUAAUGACUAGAAAUUUGUAUCAUGUCAUGUUAUAACACCUAAAAGCCAGCAAAAAUGAGUUUUAGAGAAUUACCCACUGUUAAAUAAUAGUUGUAGUUCAAAGCACCCCUUCUGCCCUAAAAUUUGGUAAUUUUGUCCAGAGAAAACCAUUCACUUUCUGAUCCCCAAAUUUUGAGACAGAGCAACACCCACCAGUAACAAGCCACUGUAAUUUUUGCAGAAUUUUUGGAAUUUUAUAAAAGCAACUUGUAGUUCAAACCUACCCCAAAACAUUAAAAGAAUAAAAGAAAAGGAAAGAAGGAAUAAACUCAUCCCAACAAGUCUAACGUGAGAACUUAUCAUUUAUCACUAAGGCUAAGAAGAAUUCAGUGGAACCCCAAAAAUAAACCUACCCCUUACCUUAGCUAAGUAUAACCCAAUUUACCAAGUAUACCACUAAAGGGUUUUACAUAAGUAAAGUUAACUUGUUUAAACUCAAAAGAUCAUACAUCUUUAAAGUUGUAAUUUCUAAAGCACAUAUCAUAUCAUGCAUAUAUCUUACGCAUUGCAUUCAUUAGAUUGUAAUCUUGCCGACGGAGAGUACGUGCUCAUCCCCGAGCAAGGACCUGUCGAAGAAGAGGACCAGGAGCAGGCUUCAGAGGCUGCUAUUGAGGAUCUCCCCGCAGCCCCAGCAAUUGAAGGCAAGCCCCGGUUUUAUGGAUAACCAUGUUAUUAUAUGCUACUUUACUACACUUAAUGCUUGUAGGAUUGCAAUGUGCACUUAAGUGUAGGAGUUGCUUGAAACCUCUAGUUGCAUGAACUUAGGAUUCCUUUUUGAGAUGAAUACUAGUAUGCUAGGUCGAGUAGCUGCUUACUAAUCAGGAUCUCGGUAGAAGUCGAGUGAUUUUCUAGCACUCGCGCGAGGUCAGGAAUUGAUUGUAUUCACCUUGAUAACGGGAUUUAUAUUGGUCUAUGGACUUGGAUCCAGGGAGGAUGCCUUGUCCAUGAGACGGGAAAAAUGAAUUAAGGAUUAAUGUGUGGAUACUUGAGUCAAGCUUUUGAACGUACUAAGCACAUACCGGGAAAAAUGGUAACCGGUAAACCUAGUACCUGAGUGAAGCCGGGCGCGGACUUUAUCCCUCAUGCGACCUGAGACUGGGUCUCCCAUGCUAGCUAUGGUGGGUACAAGUGCGGUCACUGCACGGCGGCAGUCGGGGUCAGUGGAGCAUUGUAUGCCAAGGCGGUGAGGCCUGGACGCGAACGGGGAAUCGAUGGGGACGGUUGUCAUGUGUGGGGUCGGAGUACCCUGACAUGCCGUGUGUUUAGGUUUACCUUGCAAGGUUAAAACUCGAUUCGAAUCGUCUGCUUCUCGCAGCUAAUGAGACUGCUUGAUUCCUUGUACUGCAUCGAGUAAGAAGUGAAAUGUGGAUUAUAUGAGAUAACUUGUUGAUUGAGCUAAUUGCUUGUUACCAUGUAUGCUUAGAAGGAGCAAAUCUAGUUAAGUUAAUGAUGGUAGAAUUUGGAAAGCAAAAAAAAAAAUUUGACUUUAGAAACAGCUAGUGCUUUUGGCAAACCAAACCCCUCAGCCAAACAGCUGCAUAGUCUAGAGGUAGAGGAGUAGACUCCUCACACCGGUUAAGUCUAGCCGAGUAUUAGUAUACUCAGCCUUGCUUGUGGCACCAUUUUUGCAGGUACCAUGCAGGAUUUGGUUGAUGGUGUGACUUGGCCUACCACCCUGCCACCGGGUUGGACAGUCGAGUGGGAUGUGGCUCCGGCAGGAGAGGAGCAUGAGGAGUAGUGGGCUAGGCCUUGCCCAUUUCCUCAUUACCGACGACAUCGAUUAUCCGCUGCACUUUAUUUUGUGAACCUUAUUUACUACUCAAAAACUCCGAUUUAUGUAAUAACUCAGUACUUAAUUUGAGGUUUCAUGUUUUAUUGUAUUUCUUCUGUGACUCACCUUCGAGUGGGAUUGUGGAAUUUGAUCCUGGUUAAGUGGCUCUAUCAGACUAGAUCUGAGGGACUGACGGGUUAUUCCGAUUUAAGUGUGUUACGACCCCUGGGGCGUGGCUUAGGCACUUAAGCUGGAAUAAUUCGGGCGGUUCUGCCACAGGUGCGUGGUAUAUGAAUAACUUGAAAACAUCUUAAGGGUAGAAGCGACGUAGCUGUUGGAUGUUCCAAGCGUUGCCGUAGACCUCGCCUUGACUGUUGGCCAGCUUGUACGUUCCGGGCUUCAGAACUUUGGCGAUGACGAAUGGCCCUUCCCAGGGGGGCGUGAGCUUGUGCCUCCCUCGGGCGUCUUGCCGCAGCCGAAGCACCAGGUCGCCCACCUGGAGGUCUCGGGGCCGGACCCCUCGGGCGUGGUAGCGUCGCAGGGACUGCUGGUACCGCGCCGAGUGUAGUAAGGCCUUGUCCCGAGCUUCUUCCAGCUGGUCCAGCGAGUCUUCUCGGCUAACUUGGUUGCUUUGAUCGCUGUAGGCCUUCGUCCUCGGGGAGCCGUAUUCCAGGUCAGUGGGCAAGACGGCCUCGGCCCCAUAGACCAGGAAGAACGGCGUGAAACCCGUGGCUCGGCUCGGCGUUGUCCUCAGGCUCUAGACCACCGAGGGGAGUUCCUUCAUCCAUCGCUUGCCGAACUUGUUGAGGUCGUUGUAAAUCCGGGGCUUGAGCCCUUGUAGAAUCAUGCCGUUGGCACGCUCUACUUGCCCAUUCGACAUGGGAUGAGCCACGGCGGCCCAGUCCACCCGGAUGUGGUGGUCCUCGCAAAAAUCCAAGAAUUUUCUGCCAGUGAACUGGGUGCCGUUGUCGGUGAUGAUGGAGUUUGGGACCCCGAAGCGAUGGAUGAUGUUGGUGAAGAACGCCACCGCCUGCUCGGACCUGAUGCUGUUCAGGGGUCGGACCUCGAUCCACUUGGAGAAUUUGUCGAUGGCGACCAGCAGGUGCGUGUAGCCCCCGGGCGCCUUCUGCAAGGGACCGACGAGGUCCAGACCCCACACAACAAAGGGCCUGGUGAUGGGUAUCGUCUGCAGAGUCUGAGCGGGCAGGUGGGUCUGCUUCGCAUAGAAUUGGCACCCUUCGCAGGUGCGGACAAUUCUAGUGGCGUCAGUCACCGCCGUUGGCCAGUAGAAGCCUUGCCGAAAAGCAUUCCCGACAAGGGCUCGAGGCGCUGCAUGAUGGCCGCAAGCCCCCGAGUGUAUUUCUUGCAGGAGUUCCUGACCUUCGGCGAUGGAGAUGCAUCGCUGGAGGAUGCCCGAGGGGCUGCGGUGGUAGAGCUCCUUCUCAUCGCCCAGCAAGACGAACGACUUGGCACGUCGCGCUACCCGCCGAGCCUCGGCUUGGUCGAGGGGUAGCUCUCCUUGGCGGAGAUAUUGCAGGUACGGGGUCUGCCAAUUUCGAUCAGGCGUGGCCCCGCUCUGCUCCUCCUCGACGUGCAGUGCCUCGCCCUCGGGGGCCGAGGGUACCUCGGGCUGAACCGAGGACGCCUCGGGCUGAGCCGAGGGUACCUCGAGCUGGACCGAGGGUGCCUCGGGCUCGGGCGUGUCGUUGAUCUUGACGGAGGGUUGAUGCAGAUCCUGGGAGAAGAUGUUCGGGGGAACCGUCGUUCGCCCCGAGGCUAUUUUUGCCAGCUCGUCUGCAGUCUCGUUGUAGCGCCGAGCGAUGUGGUUGAGCUCGAGCUCGUAGAACUUGUCUUCCAGGCGCCGAACCUCAUCGCAGUAGGCCUCCAUCUUCGGGUCGCGGCAGUGGGAGUUCUUCAUGACUUGGUCGAUGAUGAGCUGCGAGUCACCGCGGGCGUCGAGGCGUCUGACCCCUAGCUCGAUGGCGAUCUGCAACCCGUUGACCAGAGCCUCGUACUCAGCCACAUUGUUGGACGCCGGGAAAUGGAGGCGUAGCACGUAGCGUAGGUGUUUCCCGAGGGGCGAGAUGAAGAGCAGGCCCGCGCCGGCUCCCGUCUUCAUCAGCGACCCGUCGAAAAACAUGGUCCAGAGCUCCGGUUGGAUCGGAGCCGUCGGUAGCUGGGUGUCGACCCAUUCGGCCACGAAGUCCGCCAAUACCUGGGACUUGAUGGCCUUCCGAGGGGCGAACGAGAUUGUCUCGCCCAUGAUUUCCACCGCCCACUUUGCGAUCCUGCCCGAGGCCUCUCGGCACUGGAUGAUCUCCCCCAGGGGGAAGGAUGACACCACAGUUACCGGAUGAGACUCGAAGUAAUGUCGCAACUUUCGCCUCGUCAGGAUCACUGCAUACAGCAGCUUCUGAACUUGUGGGUAGCGGAUCUUGGUCUCGGACAGUACCUCGCUGACGAAGUAAACUGGCCUCUGAACGGGCAAUGCAUGCCCCUCUUCUUGCCUCUCGACCACAAUCGCGGCGCUAACCACCUGAGUGGUCGCGGCGACGUAGACCAAGAGGGCUUCUCCAUCAGCUGGGGGCACCAAGAUAGGCGCCUUUGUGAGGAGCGCCUUCAGGUUCCCGAGAGCUUCCUCGGCCUCAGGGGUCCAAGCGAAACACUCGGCCUUCCUCAAGAGGCGGUACAGAGGCAGACCUCUUUCGCCGAGGCGUGAGAUGAAGCGGCUCAGGGCCGCGAGACAUCCCAUGACCCUCUGUACGCCUUUUAAGUCCUUGAUGGGCCCCAUGCUGGUGAUGGCUGCGAUCUUCUCCGGGUUGGCUUCGAUGCCUCGUUCGGAGACGAUGAACCCCAAGAGCAUGCCUCGGGGCACCCCGAAGACACACUUCUCGGGAUUGAGCUUGACGCCUUUCGCCUUGAGACAUCGGAAUGUCACUUCAAGGUCGGAGAGGAGGUCGGAAGCCUUCCUCGUCUUGACUACAAUGUCAUCGACGUAGGCCUCGACUGUGCGACCGAUGUGUUCGCCGAACACAUGGUUCAUGCACCGCUGGUACGUCGCGCCCGCAUUCCUCAAACCGAACGACAUGGUGACAUAGCAGUACAUGCCGAAAGGCGUGAUGAAAGAAGUCGCGAGCUGGUCGGACUCUUUCAUCCGGAUUUGGUGAUACCCUGAGUAGGCAUCGAGGAAGGACAGGGUUUCGCACCCAGCAGUGGAAUCCACGAUUUGAUCGAUGCGAGGCAGAGGGUAGGGAACCUUCGGACAUGCUUUGUUGAGACCAAUGUAGUCUACGCACAUCCGGCAUUUCCCCCCUUUCUUUCUCACAAGCAAAGGGUUGGCAAGCCAUUCGGGAUGGAAUACCUCUUUGAUGAACCUUGCUGCCAUUAGCUUGUGGAUCUCCUCGCCUAUCACUCUGCGCUUCUCCUCGUCGAAUCGGCGUAGAGGCUGCCUGACGGGUCGGGCUCCGGCCUGAAUAUCCAGCGAGUGCUCGGCGACAUCCCUCGAUAUGCCGGGCAUGUUCGAUGGACUCCACGCAAAGACGUCGGCGUUUGCGCGGAGAAAGUCGACGAGCACUGCUUCCUAUUUGGGGUCGAGCCCGGAACCGAUCCGGAUCUGCUUGGAGGUGUCGCCACUGGGGUCGAGAGGGACGGCCUUAACCGUCUCCGCUGGCUCGAAGUUGUCGGUAUGACGCUUCACGUCUGGCACCUCUUUGGAGAGGCUCUCCAGGUCGGCGAUGAGGGCCUCGGACUCGGCGAGGGCCUCGGCGUACUCCACGCACUCCACGUCGCAUUCGAACGCGUGUUUGUACGUGGGGCCGACGGUGAUGACCCCGUUGGGGCCCGACAUCUUGAGCUUCAGGUAGGUGUAGUUGGGGACGGCCAUGAACUUCAUGUAGCAUGGCCUCCCUAGUACCGCGUGGUAGGUUCCUCGGAACCCGACCACCUCGAACGUCAAAGUCUCCCUUCGGAAGUUGGAGGGCGUUCCGAAGCAGACGGUAAGGUCGAGUCGUCCGAGGGGCUGGACGCGCUUCCCAGGAAUGAUCCCAUGGAAGGGCGCAGCGCCUGCUCGGACGGAGGACAGAUCGACGCGCAGGAGCCUGAGGGUCUCGGCGUAGAUGAUGUUGAGGCAGAUGCCCCCGUCCAUCAGGACCUUGGUGAGCCUGACGUCGCCGACGAUGGGGUCGACGACGAGCGGGUAUUUCCCCGGGCUCGGCACGUGGUCGGGGUGGUCAGCUUGGUCGAAGGUGAUGGGCUUGUCGGACCAGUCUAGGUAGACUGGCGCCGCCACCUUCACCGAGCAGACCUCCCGGCACUCUUGCUUGCGAUGCCGAGCCGAGGCAUUCGCUGCAUGCCCACCGUAGAUCAUGAAGCAGUCGCGGACCUCGGGGAACUCUCCUGCUUGGUGAUCUUCCUUCUUGUCGUCGUCGCGGGCCCUGCCACCCUCUGCGGGUGGCCCGGCCCUGUGGAAGUGGCGCCGAAGCAUGACGCACUCCUCGAGGGUGUGCUUGACGGGCCCCUGAUGAUAGGGGCACGGCUCCUUAAGCAUCUUGUCGAAGAGGUUAGCACCUCCGGGGGGCUUCCGAGGGUUCUUGUACUCGGCGGCGGCGACAAGGUCCGCGUCGGCGGCGUCGCGUUUCGCUUGCGACUUCUUCCUGCCUUUCUUCUUGGCGCCGCGCGGAGUAGACGCCUCGGGGGUCUCUUCCGAUGGGCGGCCCUGGGGCUGCUUGUCCUUUCGGAAGAUAGCCUCGACCGCCUCCUGGCCAGAGGCGAACUUGGUGGCGAUGUCCAUCAGCUCGCUCGCCCUGGUGGGGGUCUUGCGACCCAACUUACUCACCAGGUCACGACAGGUGGUGCCGGCAAGGAACGCGCCGAUGACAUCCGAGUCGGUGAUGUUGGGCAGCUCGGUGCGCUGCUUCGAGAAUCACCGGAUGUAGUCCCGGAGAGACUCUCCCGGCUGUUGCCGGCAGCUUCGGAGGUCCCAGGAAUUCCCGGGGCGCACGUACGUGCCCUGGAAAUUGCCGGCGAAGGCUUGGACCAAGUCAUCCCAGUUGGAGAUCUGCCCCGGAGGCAGGUGCUCCAACUAGGCGCGAGCAGUGUCGGAGAGGAACAGGGGGAGGUUGCGGAUGAUGAGGUUGUCGUCGUCCGUUCCACCCAGUUGGCAGGCCAGGCGGUAGUCUGCGAGCCACAGUUCCGGUCUCGUUUCCCCGAGUACUUUGUGAUAGUAGUCGGGGGUCGGAACAGGGUCGGGAACGGCGCCCGUCGGAUGGCCCGACUGAAGGCCUGCGGACCGGGUGGUUCGGGCGAGGGACUCCGAUCCUCCCCGCUGUCAUAGCGUCCCCCACGCCUGGGGUGGUAACCUCGGCGCACCCUCUCGUCGAGGUGGGCCCGACGGUCGCGACGAUGGUGCUCGUUGCCGAGGUGGCCCGGGGCCGCAGGCGCGGUGUUGCGCGUGCGCCCGGUGUAGACCGAGGCUUCCCGCAUGAAUCGGGAAGUCGCGGCAUGAGGUUCCGAGGGGUAUCCCUGCCUCCGGGAGGCAGAGCUCUCGGCCCGUCGGACCGCAGCGCCUUCCAGGAGAUUCUUGAGCUCUCCCUGGAUUCGCUGACCCUCGGUGGUUGAUGGCUCCAGCAUCGCGCGGAGGAGCAUCGCUGCGGCUGCCAGGUUCUGACCGACCCCACUGGAUGCGGGUGGCGGCCUGAGCCUGACGUCGUUGGCGACGCGGUGCUGGAAACCCUGGGGCAGGUGACGUGUUUCUCCGGCCGGGGGUUGGCCCGCCCAUACCUGCCCGACGUCCCGGCGGAUCGGCUCAAGCGCUCCUGCUCCCUCGUCGAGCCUGGCCUGCGCCCCGCGGACUUGCUCGAGCCGUGGGUCGUGACCCCCCGCCGGAACGGGGACCACAGCUAGCUCCCGCGGGAUGUCAGCGCGAGGCACCGGCCUAGGGAGAUCACCGUCCUCCGGCAUGCCGAGAUGGUUUCCUUCGGAGGGAUCCCCUAGCUCGACGUGGAAACAUUCGCGGCUUGGGCCGCAGUCCUCGUCGUCAAGGCUGCGGCUACCGUCGGAACAGUCGGAGAGGCAGUAGUCACAUGCGGUCAUAAAGUCCCGCAUGGCACUGGGGUUGCCAAAUCCAGAGAAAUCCCAACAGGUGUUGGGAUCGUCAUCUUCCUCCGACCCAGAGGGCCCGUAGGUCGAGACGUCCGUCAGCCGGUCCCAAGGCGACCGCAUACGAAACCCCAGAGGGGUUGCACUCGCCUCAACGAGAGCGCCCGCCAAAGCAAGGUCGCUAGGCGGGUUGAGGCCGAGUCGAAAUGACGUAGGAUGGGAAUCAGUCGGUACCUUUUGGUCGACGAGGAGCGACAUAGUCACAUCGGGGACUGAUUGCACCGUUGUCUCAGGUACGAGGGCGACGUCCUGCAAGCUCUCCACGAGCGUGCUGGCGUCGUCCACUUGCUCGGGAUUGGUGUGUCGCGGGGGGACGAUGCUCGCCUUCGUCUCAAACGCGAGGUCGACGCCUGACGCGCCCCCCGUUGGGGUGCUGGGGACGUCGAUUCGCUCGACAGCCGAUGAAGCGCGGCCUCCCGCUUGGCCUUGGUUGCCUCGCCUCCUCCUCCGUUGGCGGGGGAGAGGACGGGGCGAGCUCGAAUGUUGUUCUUCCACCACGCGGGGAAGAUGUCGUCGAUUCCGCCGCCGGCGGGCGGGUUGUCGGCCGCCAUUAUCGUUGUCGCGCGGCGGUGGAAGGAGUAUCAUGUCGUAGCUGCCGUCUAAGGACAUGAACUCAAGACUCCCGAAACGGAGCACCGUCCCGGGCCGGAGAGGUUGCUGGAGACUACCCAUCGGAGCUUGACGGGAAGUUGUUCGUCAACACGCAGCAGGCCCCUACCUGGCGCGCCAACUGUCGGCGUUUCGAGACCGGGGGGUCCCUAAGCCGACGAGUGAGUGUGUCGCGUGCCCCAGCCCAGAUGGGUCGAGCGCGUGGGCGAGCGCGAAGGGGGGAAGCGAGGUGGCCGGAGACGGGCGUGAGAGAGGUGGAAAUCUCGCGGCCUUCGUGUUCGUCCCGCGCCCAGGUCGGGUGCGCUUGCAGUAGGGGGUUACAAGCGUCCACGCGGGUGAGGGAAGCGAGCGGCCCCAAGAGAGCGCCUGUCUCAUCCUCGUCCCCGCGCGGCCAACCCUCUCUAAGAGGGCCCUGGUCCUUCCUUUUAUAGGCGUAAGGAGAGGAUCCAGGUGUACAAUGGGGGUGUAGCAGAGCGCUACGUGUCUAGCGGGGGAGAGCUAGCGCCCUAAGUACAUGCCAAUGUGGCAGCCGGAGAGAUCUUGGCACCCUGCUGGUGUGAUGUCGUGGCUAUCGGAGGAGCAACGGAGCCUGGCGGAGGGACAGCUGUCGGAGCGGUUGAGUCCUUGCUGACGUCCCCCUGCUUCCGUAAGAGAGCUGAGAGCCACCGUCGUCACAGGGCUUGCGGGGCGCCAUCAUUGCCUAUCUAGCGGAGCUAGCCAGAUGGGACACCGGUCUUGUUCUCUGCGGCCCGAGUCAGCUCGGGGUAGGGUGAUGAUGGCGCUUCCUGUUGACGUGGCGGGCCUGUGCCCUAGGUCGGGCGACGUGGAGGCUCCUCCGAAGCCGAGGUCGAGUCUGUCUUCCAUGGCCGAGGCCGAGCCCGAGCUCCUGGGUCGGGCGAGGCGGAGGUCGUUCGGCAGAGGCCAGGGCGGAGUCCGAGCCCUGGGGUCGGGCGAAGCGGAGUUCGUCGUCUUCUGGGGCUGAGCCCGAGUCCGAGCCCUGGGUCGGGCGGAGCGGAGUUCGCCGUCUUCCGGGGCUUAGCCCGAGUCCGAGCCCUGGGUCGGGCGGAGCGGUGUUCGCCGUCUUCCGGGGCUUAGCCCGAGUUCGAGCCCUGGGUCGGGCGGAGCGGAGUUCGCCGUCUUCCGGGGCUUAGCCCGAGUCCGAGCCCUGGGUCGGGCGGAGCGGAGUUCGCCAUCUUCCGGGGCUUAGCCCGAGUCCGAGCCCUGGGUCGGGCGGAGCGGAGUUUCCUAUGGCGCCUUCGGCAGGGCCUGACUGCCUGUCAGUCUCACUCUGUCAAGUGGCACUGCAGUCGGAGUGGCGCAGGCGGCGCUGUCCUUCUGUCAGACCGGUCAGUGGAGCGGCGAAGUGACGGCGGUCACUUCGGCUCUGCCGGGGGGCGCGCGUCAGGAUAAAGGUGUCAGGCCACCUUUGCGUUAAAUGCUCCUGCGACUCGGUCGGUCGGCGCGGCGAUUUAGUCAGGGUUGCUUCUUAGCGAAGGCAAGGCCUCGGGCGAGCCGGAGAUGUGUCCGCCGUAAAAGGGGGGCCUCGGGCGAGACGGAAAUCCCUCGGGGUCGGCUGCCCUUGUCCGAGGCUAGGCUCGGGCGAGGCGUGAUCGAGUCGCUCGUAUGGACUGAUCCCUGACUUAAUCGCACCCAUCAGGCCUCUGCAGCUUUAUGCUGAUGGGGGUUACCAGCUGAGAAUUAGGCGUCUUGAGGGUACCCCUAAUUAUGGUCCCCGACAGUGGUCAACUGACAUGCGCAGCCAAGAAUCUCUUUUCUAUCCACCCACGAGCCAAUCAAAGCGAGAAACGAGGGAAAACACCUUUCCUCUGCUCAUUCGAAAUUGGAUUCUCGAUUUAUCUGCCACUCCUUUCGCCCGGAUGUGGCGGGAGUUUGAAAUUGACCAAUUUAGAUCUCCUUUUUCUCUGUACUUUACAAUGAUUUGUGUAACAAGUCGCUGAAUCCGCUCUUUAAUACUGGGUUAUCACCGACCUCACCACUGGGUGUGCAAUAGAUUUAUUGGAGUGGAAUCAAUAGGAAGACAAGGCUUUCAAAUAUGGAAGAAGUGGGCUGGGCGGUAGAACACCAUCUGAACUAAUUGGCAUACCUUGCUUCUGAAGAGCUAACCAAGGUUUAUGGCAUCGUGAACGAUAAGCGAGGAUCUAGGAAGCUUAUCCAGGGGUUCCUUAGACGGAGGCAACUUAAGUCUCUGAUCAUUUAGGCGUAGAUAUUUCACAAUUCGCUUUUGACAAUGGAUUGUGGAUUACCGGGAAAACUAAGACAUUUACAUCAUCUCCCUUAACAGAAGAAAUAGAAGCUCGAGGUAUCGACAGAGCUGAGCAAAAGCACCAGUGCGUAUGGUCCACGUGACUGAUGGAUGUGCAAAGCUCCGGAAUCUCCUACGGGGAUGAUGAUCUCGUACUAGGAUGAUGCGCUUUGUUUGCAUUCCCUUCGACAGAAAGAGAUAGCAACAAUUCGGGCUAACAAAGGGACUAGAACCGACUUCUUCUUCUUUGAUCUUACCUAUGAUAAAUGAGAAUCCGCUGUCUUGUUUGGUUGAGGAUGAAGCAGAUCGGAAAUAAUAGUAUUUCAAUGGAAAUCCUGUUACUACUUUACUUUCACUUCACUUUUCAUGGCGAGAUAGACUUGACUCUCCAUCUUCAAGUGGUCUUGGCCGAUAGGCGUUGUUGUGGCGAAACGGCAUAUAUCUCCUUCGGUUAGCUAGCUACCUGACGUGAUAAGGCUACUAGUUCCCUUCACUCGUGCCUACGGCGCACUUACCCAUAGCUAUUGCAUGCAAGCUCAAUCUUCUAUCUCGCAUUGCUACACGCUCGAAACCGCCAAUUCGCUCGUAUUGCUAACGCAACCUAUAGAGUUUGGGGAGUGCGGCGCGGGGAGUAUGAUGGACGAAGGAGUGAGAACGACUGACGAUAGAGCAGGGGGGCUAGCCUGAAUUCCUUCUCCUUUCAGGAGAGCAUACCUUUAUUUUAUUCUAUUCCUUCGACGAACAAUGUACUGAAAUGCCUUUUUUCCCCAUCCCGCAAAACCGCUUCUUCUGGCAAAAGCCACUUUGGGCACGUCCCACCGGAAUUGCAUUGCCUGGACUUAGGCUGCUUUCAGCCAGACUGGCUAAAAAGUGCCAUAGCUCCAGUGAUCCCUCUCCUGUGCUAAGUCUUUGUCUCAAUGACUGCGAGAUUGCUAAACAAUGACUCAAUAGAAUGCUAAUUGAUGAGGCCUAUCCUUCCCCUAUUUCUAUUCUGGUAACCCUUCUUUAGAGCGGAGCAAACUCCACGGAAAUCCGCUUACCGAGGAAAGAGAAGUAGCGGGAAGGGUGCCCAGCAGUCACUCAUAUCAUGGGAUGCACUGGCCACUCCACCUCAUUGGCAAGGAUGGUUCAACCAGCCAUCAAGCAAUCGUUUCUAUUCUCGAUCCAAUAAACGGCAGUAAGAUGAAUGAAACCUUUGUCACUCACAAACCAGAGACCUUUCCAGCUUUCCUAACAGAGGGGAGCACCGGCCCGGUGGAAAAGCAAGAGAAAAAUCGACUUCUUCAAAAGGAGACCACUAUCUUCGGCAAAUCAAAUAUAGAUCGAGUCAUGAAGCAGGCUCACUACCUGGAAAGCGUAGAUCGGCACCGGCAACUCAAAUGAAUAUCCCCUCCCCUGUGGGAUCGAGUUUCUAGGGCUUGCUUGACUUGAGGAAACCACUAUCUAUGACGACUCAACCGACAAGCUCACUUGCUUUCGAUCGAGAUGGAUUUCCAGGGCAGGGCCUAUUCCCUUAACUUACAAGAAAAUGCGUAUUACAAUGAUGUGAUGAUUUAGGUUCUCUGGCGUAUUGUGCAUGCCAUGAUUGAGGAAUCAACGAUCCAUCGAGGCGAGGCUAUCUAUAUAGUACUGGAAUAGGGGCAAGCCCGGCACACUUAAAGCCAUUCCAACAAUCUUAUUCGUCGUAAGCCCUUCUAGCAGGAGCUGAGUAAAGGUCCGCUCAAGGCCAUGGAAAGGCAGAUAGUACUUGAUACAGGACGAGCCCAGUCUCUAUCUAGUACGAUAUUCUGGUAUGUUUCACUGAAUUGGCAUUUCUAGAUACCAAACAAGUAAAAAACAGCAAGUUAGUUAGCUCAGUUGGCAUAGGCGAAAAAAAGAAAAGGAAUCAACGAUAAAUCGGGGAAAGAGCCGCAAGCGCGAUAUCAUCUCUAUAUAGGAAAAAUGGAUUUUUCUUAUUUUAUAAAGUUAUGGGACCCUGGCUUUAAAAUCUUUCUUUUUUCUCGGCUCGAAAGAGAAAAAUCAAAGUCAGGUAGCCGACGAAAACCGAAAUAGCACAGAUACAAAGUAAAGAAAGUAUACACGCGAUAAUAGAUAGAUAUAUAUUAUAUAUAAUGUUAGAAGGAGCUAAAUCAAUAGGUGCCGGAGCUGAACUCGUAUUCAGAGAUGGAGGAAAUCAAGUCUCAUGUUGCUCCUCAGAAAAUGCGUAUAGUAUAUAGUAAUAGUAAUAGUAAUAGUAAUAGUAAUAGUAAUCUCAUUGGCCCACUAGAUAAGGAUGGGACAAACGCUCUAGUGUAUGCGAAACGAGCAUUGCGUUUUGUCCGAGAAGUUCGUGAAAGAGUGCUCGUUACAUCAAAAGAGAUGGCGAUGAUCUGUCAAAUCGACAUUGUGUCGGUGUUCAGUCUCCCGCUCCUGUUCUCAACUAUACUAUGGCUUUCGUUACUAUACUAUGGCUUUCGUUGGGUAGAGCACGGGAGAAUAAAGUCUAUAGUGUAUGCGUUACUGUACUGGGAAGCUAGCAUUUUUGCUUGUCAUGGAAUCAAGUCUAUUUGUUCGAAUGUUCUUUUUUUCGUUUCGUUGGAAAAACCAACGCCGACGUCAAGAAUGGAUCAGUCUAGUCUCCUUUCUCUUUUGGGAGCAGAGCUGAAAAAGAUGGAAUUGUCAAGUACGAUGAUAUUUUUAUUAACGGAUAGAAAAAUGCUAUUAUCAAGUAGUAAACCCAUUAUGAUUGCAACUCGUGGGAUGCCUGGAAUCCCACUAAAUCGAGAAUCGGAAUCGGUGGAGGAUGUGCAUAGGGUACUCCGAGCCCUCCCCUUAUUUAGAGAAAUGGAAGGUAUCUUGCGUGAGAGGAACCUGAAUCUCCCGUCAGUACAGGAAAUAAGCGCUUUCCGUGUGAAUCUAUUCUCUGGUAUCCGGCGUGAGAGUGCGAUUGCGGACUACGACGCUUUUUGGCGCUCCUUACUCGAGGAGAUUCACACACCUCAGGGACGUAGUUGUUUUGGUCAGAGAAUACAAGAUCUGCACGCCCGAAUGUCUGCCGAGGGCAACUGGGACUACUUGAUUGCCCAACAAGGCAGAGGGUAUUUUGGUAACCUACCUAAUCUCAACAGCCCGUUGGAUCAAUAUCAAUUUGGAAUUCACCCAAUUCUGGAUCUGAAUAUUGGUGAGUACUAUGUCUCAUUCACAAAUCUAUCCUUGUCUAUGCUACUCACUCUCGGUUUGGUCCUACUUCUGGUGCUGCCAAUGAUUCUUCGUUCAUUAGAAUGUCGAUUCCUCACAAUCGCUCUUUGUGAUGCUGCGGAACCAUGGCAAUUAGGAUCUCAAGACGCAGCAACACCUAUGAUGCAAGGAAUCAUUGACUUACAUCACGAUAUCUUUUUCUUCCUCAUUCUGAUUUUGGUUUUCGUAUCACGGAUGUUGGUUCGCGCUUUAUGGCAUUUCAACGAGCAAACUAAUCCAAUCCCGCAAAGGAUUGUUCAUGGAACUACUAUCGAAAUUAUUCGGACCAUUUUUCCUAGUGUCAUUCCAUUGUUCAUUGCUAUACCAUCGUUUGCUCUGUUAUACUCAAUGGACGGGGUAUUAGUAGAUCCAGCCAUUACUAUCAAAGCUAUUGGACAUCAAUGGUAUCGGAGUGCGCCUCUUAACGAGGGUGAUUUAAGUGCAACGAAAUGUACCGGUGGUUCGCGAAGCAUCUGGCUUACCGGUCAUCUCCCAUUCCCGUCGUCGAGAGACUAAAAGAACUAUAGCAUGCCAGAAACGGGGAGUUGAGGUGGUUAGACCUAUACCCCGAAAUGCUCCCAGCAUAGGAGCCUAUGGUUCCAUUCUUGUUAUUGCUGGAGGUACACAUACCUCUUCUCGGUGUGGUGGAGCGAUAUACGAAAAAUAGAUGCUAAGCCCGCAAUGUCCGAUAACGGGGCUUCAGUAGUGAAUCUAUCGGCACCACAGCAGUGGCAUACAACUUUGGACCUAAGGGCCGGCCCCGUUACCUUUCGGAAUGGGGGAUCCCCGUUGGCAACAACCACGGUAGUAGUUGCGGAACUACUGGGCCAAGAGAGGACAACCUGUUGUUCCUGCUCCUCCUUCUUCGCUUCGGGGACGGAGGUCCUACGGUAGGUAAGAGCACGCACAAGCACUUGGCCGAAGGGGACCAGCGCUUCUACUCCUCCACCGAGGAGCCGUUCUUGCGAGAAGCAAGGGAUGUCGUGAACGGUGGGAGGUCAAAGAAAGAGAAUUGACCUCUGAAUACAGUGAUCCUAUGAUCUAGAUAGACUCCGUCCUUUUUUUUUAGAUAAGGGUGACUCAAGAGGGGGGAGAACUACCUAACUAAAGAAGAAUAGCGCUCUUUAAAAAUAAGAGUAGGCGUGGAGAGCUUUUUGCGGGGAAACUUGCAAGUCAAGUUUGGGGGGAGGCGGGCGUCGACCCAACCUUAUGAGUAUUCGGACUAUAACAGUUCCGAUGAACAGUCACUCACUUUUGACAGUUAUACGAUUCCAGAAGAUGAUCCAGAAUUGGGUCAAUCACGUUUAUUAGAAGUUGACAAUAGAGUGGUUGUACCAGCCAAAACUCAUCUACGUAUGAUUGUAACACCCGCUGAUGUACCUCAUAGUUGGGCUGUACCUUCCUCAGGUGUCAAAUGUGAUGCUGUACCUGGUCGUUCAAAUCUUACCUCCAUCUCGGUACAACGAGAAGGAGUUUACUAUGGUCAGUGCAGUGAGAUUUGUGGAACUAAUCAUGCCUUUACGCCUAUCGUCGUAGAAGCAGUGACUUUGAAAGAUUAUGCGGAUUGGGUAUCCAAUCAAUUAAUCCUCCAAACCAACUAAACCGGGGAAGCUGAAGCGGAAAUGCAAUUCUCGGGUGAGGGAAGGCUUCGCUCGCUCGCUCAAAAAGCUCUAACGCUCGUUUACGAGUGGAGUGCAUAAGCCCUUAUUGAAGUAGGGCGAGGCCUUACUACACGAGCUCGUAAGUAAAGCACGGAACGAGCCUUGUCUACGAAGCUUCGCUUCAUCAUCUUGCUUGCUUCUGCUCGUAAGUAACGUACCACUCUUCUUGUCUUCUCUUUGAAACCGUCGAUCAAUCCUUAUCAAGAAAGAGAGAUUUUAAGAACUACCUCUACCCACAAGAUAAAGAUAUUGGUUAUUUCCGGCUUUCCUUUAGGAAACAGAAGCAUGAGUGAAGUAGUACGAUACCAGGAAAAACCACAGAAACGUAUGAUCCAAGGAAUGCUAGAAAGUGCCAGAACUGGCUAUGCAUAAAGAAGACCGAGCCGGAGCAUCUAGAUGAGAUUCCACCAGAGCAGACUUCUCCGCCCCCGGAAGAAAGAAGGAUUUCCAAUCAAACCCAGAGGAUCAUCACCAGUCAACCGCAAGGAAAGGAAUAGUACUAGUUCCGUCUCCCCUAUAAAAGUAGGCAACCCUAUUAUUCGGUCAAUCAAGUGAUUAAGUAUGAUUCAUUUCUGAGCGAGCGUCGAAUAUACAAAACUUUCCAUCUCCACCGACGGCAGAUUUCUAUCUUGCCAUUUCAAUUUGGCUCUAUGAGAAGCUUGUAUCUCCGAUUGGGACUUGUCUUCCCAGUAAAACAUCACAGGGCCCACUCCUCUUGCAUUUGACCCUCUCUUCCUGCAAGCUCCAACUUCUAAGGUUCAGUGAAUUAGAUAGUUCUCCGUCUAUCUCUUUUUAGAUUUGAUGUAAAUCACGGAGAGUUCAUUGCGAAACUCUUUAGUCCGAUUUUCUUAGAGCAUAGAAAAGGUAUAAGUAAGUCUGUGUACUCGAGUCAAAUAGCAGGACUAGUUCUGGCUUCUCUAUCCCGGAUAAGAGAUUCAACAUAGCUUCGCCUGCCUUCGUGAUUGCUUGUGUAAUACAGAAAGAAGAAAAAGAGCUGUGGGAUGCAAGUCGAACUAGACUGAAUGUGCCAGGCUUCUAUUUAUCAGGGCCACAAGUAGAAAGUGAGUGGAGGCAAAUGUUGCAUGCAAUUGACUCAGAUGUCCCUCCAAGUUUUCCAUGGAACCAAGGUCAUAAAAAGAUGUAUCUAGAGUGGGCGUCGGUUGACUUUUCUUUUAUGGGUGGGUCAAACCUAGCCUAGACGAACGAGUGGAUAGAAGCAAGGCUAGCCGCCCUAGUGCUUCUAACUCAUUGGAACACGCAUGGACGGAGUGCCAGGGAAGAAAACCGGAGAGUUUCGGCUUUGGUAUGAGCUGCUUUGAAUCAAGAAUCAGUUUGGUUGAGUUUUGAAUGCGCCAUGAAUAAGAAAAAUGACGGGGCAUAAAUGCUUCGUACACGUACACCUUAGAGAAGGAGAGCGGGGUAAAAAGCAGCCAGCCAAAACAUGUCAAGAGUCGUAUUUUUAUACAGAUAGAUAAGUAAAAGAAGCCGGAUGUCGAUUUCUUUCGCCUAAUCUUUUCCUCUACUUCCAGUACCCUAGCCCACAGUCAAUCCCACACUUCUGUUCGUUCACUUCCCCUAUCUUCUGAAUGCCGGAUUAGGAUGAUCGCAUUUAGAAAAGAUGCCUUUUCACUUGAAAUCCGAGACUUGACUUCUACACCAACGCAAGAAGAAACCUUCCGUACUUUGGCGCAAGUGAAAUUACCAAUGAAGGUGAAUCUAUCAGAAAGACAAUAACGUGUUGACCAGAAUUGACUGAUUGAAUCGAUUCUUCUUUCCCACUGAUUCUAUAUGAGAUCCAAAUCGAGUCACCUUUUCCAAGGCUGCUUUGAUUCGCUCUUCUACUACUCAUACUCAUACUCAUUGCAUUGUUGUUUGUAUAUGAAAGGCUAUAGAAUGACAUAGUUGAUCGAGAUGUGCGCCUGCGAAGAAUGAACUCUCCUCGUUCUACAUGAGUCGAUUCUUUCUCUACCUACCUCAAAUUCAAAGGAGAUCUGGGUAAAAUAGUUUCUCGGACUACAGUGAGAGAAGUGGAUCUUCUCGUUCCCAGGCGGCGAGGGUCAUCGGUGCGCCUCCACCUCACCUAAAGGAAGAAGUUAUUUCAUCUAUAAACCUAGUAUCUACCCGAAUCAGCAGAAUUUCUGUAAGGCUUACCGAAAUGGAAGAGAGGUCUAGACACGGGUUAUUGGUGAUCGACUAACCAAAUCUGCUCACUUCCUGCCUAUCAAGAAAACGGAUAAGCAGGGUAAGUUGGCCUAAUUGGUAGAUAAAGAAAUAUUGAGGCAGGAUUUGGAUUUAGAGAAUCAAAAAGCAAUCAACCAUCCCCAAACAAAGUGCUGCUGGAGGGAAAUGCUAAAGUCCCAUUCCGAAUUCCAUUAAGGUUGUAUUCCUACUAAGAAACUCUGGGCUAUACUCUACAUCCCAUCCCAGCUCGUAAGUAAUCCUAUUUCUGUAUUAGCCUUUGAACAGCAUGGGCCAUGAAAGGACCGGAGAAGGAAUGCAGUAGGAUGAUUCUAUCUUUCCUAUGUAUGGGGCACACGAUUCUCUUUCCAUACACUAGUAAAAAUCCAGAAUAGGGCGAGGGUACCUAAAUAUCCAUCCAGAGCGAGUAGCGAUUCUUUUACUUACUACUUUUUGAAAGAUUACACCUUCGACUAUCUCUAAGCACGCAUGUCCCACUAUCUAUAUGUGAGAACAGGCUGUAAGCACGCAUGCCCCUCCUAUCUAUGAAAGAGAACAGGAAUUCCCUACACCAACAUAUCUAGCGAGGGAAAUAACUCCUUCCAAUCUACGAAAAGAGGGCACUACGAAAGCUAAUUAGUCAAACCAGCACCAAAAUAGCGAGUGAGUAACAAGCACUAUUUCGACCAUACUCUCUUGUCCUUAGAUUAAUACUAUUUCUUUAGCAGUCAACUCACUAUUUGCACUCCUUGCAUUCCAUGAGCUUUUCUUUCAUUUCAAUAGUAAGCAGGAAAUGCGAAUAAGAGAAGGGUAGAAGAAGCGAUCUGCGCAUUUCUUUAUUUCACAACGGACGUUAGAUAAAUCAUUUCUUAGGUAUGCUACAUUCUUUGAAGAAAGAGUAGGUUAUUACAUUAUGUCUAGUUGUUGAACAGGGCCCUUGCUUAAAAAAGAAAUAGUUAGAUUAUAUUAUGCCCAUGCUUUAUUAACAACACAAGUGAAGAUAAAUAGUAGUAAGUAAGCUUUCUACCACUAGUAGUACUAGUACUAUGGUUGCUUUCUACCACUAGUCGUUGAAUCUUCCUAUUCCACUUACAGUACCCCUGGGUGUCCAAUGGUUAGGACCAGAUGUAAGCUUGUAUCAACAAGUUUUGUAUAAGAUUAUGAGAUGUAGUUGAAACAAAGCUUUGCUCCUCUCAUAGUUUUGUUGUUUCCUAUUGUUUUGCUUCCUUCAAUUACCCAACAACUGGUAUCAGAGCACACUAACACUAGGAACCUUCACGGUAAGGGAUUAUUAGACCACUAUGAACACUUGUAAUUGGUUCAUUCUACUUCAGGCAUGGUUCACUCUAGUUAGUGGAAGAGUGUACAACAUAGGGAUUGGUAUCAGUCACACAUUUAGGAAAUAAAGUAAAAAGCCUCCUAUUCCAAUCAAGCAAGAAGUUGUCUGUACCGCCCUAGCAUGUUAAUAAAUACUCUUUAUCUAAAAAAUAAAUUCCUAGAAGAAAAUAAAAUCUAUUAGCAUUUAGUGACAGCAGCAUAGCUUUCCACUUUAUGAUGGUAUCUUAUAUCUUACAGUGCCUAGAUGCACUGUGAUCUUUGUGUUGUAUGAGUGAUCUUCUUUAGCUUGCUUCUUCAAUCCCUCUAUCCAGUCAUCAUCUGCAUAGCUUUGCUGCAGUUCUUGCACCCACUGUGGUAAUAGCUCAUAAAUGGCAGCUACUCCUGCAAAAAAUUGACUUAUUUGCCCGCAGCGGGCCUAAGCCUUUAUUGUCUUAUAAGAUCACUUACCAAAGGAGUCUUUUUACCUGCUUGCUUAUUAGAUAGAAAGACAACCAGAUGUUGUAGUGUGCGCUCUUGGUCUUCUCUACGUGUACAUGGACAAUUGAGGUGUUGUCUUUUGUUCCGUCAGUCUUGCUUGUAACACAGUGAGUGUAUAUGUUUCUCAUUUCCGUAGAAAGAACUACCAGCCAGGAGAUGAGACUCAAAGUGCACCCUUCUCAGACAUAGGAAAGCUCAAUCUCUUAAAGACAUAGCAUUGAAAGAGUGAGUAAGAAGCAUUGACUUAAUUUCUUUCACAACCAAGGCCAGAAGACAACACAACUGUCUAUCAUUUCUCUGGGAGAGGUCAAUGCAGCCUCGGAAAAAAGAAGAAAAGGCUAUUCCUUAGACACAGAGGUGGGAUUAAGGCGUCAUGCGGAACUCCAACAACAUAGACCAGAUGACUUAUUGAAAAUAGGUUGAGGAGCCUGAUCCUGGAGCUGAGCAAGCAUGGGCGCGAUCCACAUCGAGUGGAACUACUAUAACUAUAGCUAGUGGAAGUACCAUCCAUUCCGCAGUGGGCGGACGUUCUUUUCAAUCCUAUGAAGCUCAUCAGUAUUUCUGUCAACAAUUCUGUAGUAUGAUGGCUGUUGGUCUUAAUUUGAGUCAACUUAAAUGAAUAGAAAAAGGAACCAAAGACUGAGCAACUACUUCUAGAAUGAUGUUAUAGAAAAUACAAGACACAGUGAUCCUCAUCCGGCAUAAUAGCAGUACAUGAAUUCCACCCAGACGAAAUGGACUGACUCUCUAUGGAUCUCAACAUAAAAAAAAAGAAAGUGCUUAUCCAUCCUUGGAAGAACUAGCUCCCUCCCUGUCUUUGUCGGAACUUGAAUCGAGGUAGGCAAAAGAAUCCUUACUCGGAACGAGCCCAAGAUAAAGGGUCUAGUCCAAUUUGAGUCUUGGUUGUACAUCGGUACUACGCACGGUAGGCAUUUCUUCCAGUUAUCGGGACUUGCACUUGCUUUUUCCGGCCUUAGUGGUAUUUCAAUGAUUUUAUUGCCCUAGCCCCGUCCUUCCAUCAUAGCUUAGUUAGCUAGCUAGCUACUUCAUUUUGUGCUAAAGCCCCUCGAUACAUAAGUGCUCUCAUUCCUAGAACCCACCCGGGGCGAGUUGGUAACCGUAAACCAUUGAUCUACGAAUUCAAGUGAAUGAAAAUGUAGAUAGAUUUUUGCCUACUUCUGUAACAUAACUUCUCUACGGAUAAGCUUCAACUACUGAAUGAAGAGAUAGUGAGACCUACCUAGCAACGAGAAAUACUAGAACUUAAAUUCCUUGCCUUGACUCGCCUACUUCUCCAGUCUUUGAGCUUUCCUGGCUUUCGAUUCCUAUUCGUCUGAUGUGUUGAUGCUUGAGAAGAAGCUUUGGCACUGACACCUUACUUUCUUUCGCAUAGGGCUUUAACAGAUAAACUCUUUACAAUACUUUAUGCUGUAAAACAAGAGGAAGAAAAGAAAGGAUCCAUGAUGUGCAUGUGCCUUUUGGUCUUGUACCAACGCUCUUUAAUAACGAGGCUUUCCAUUCCAGCUUCUGGGAUGCUUCAUAGCGAGGUAAGAUCUAACUCCCUGGGUGGAUUUGUAUUCCUCUUCACUCAUUCUAGUCCUUAACUACUUGCUCGAUAAAAGCUAUCCGCUUUGACAGUUACUUCUUCAAGAAUCCGAACCUACUUUUCUAUGGCUAAAAAGGCCCCGAAAUGGCGUGCUGCCAUGCUGGAUGAGAUGGAGUCAAUGAAGAUAAAUAAGGUUUGGGACUUAGUUUAUUUACUGCCAGGGCUAUUAGGUAGCUUGGUAAGGGAUAGGCCGCAGGUUUGUGAAACAUAGGAGUAGAGGGGUAGGCAUUUGGAUCGGAACUGGUAGGAAGCAAUGGAAUAGGUCAGUAAAAUAGGACUACUAGUAAAGGCACGUUAUUCGCUAAGAAUAGUUUCGUGAUAGGUUUUUCUAAAUAGGAAAUUUGAUCGGCUUAACUGAGUUUAUUAUGGAUCGUUGCCUGUUGAGUGGAAGGAUUCCUAGUACCAUAGGUAGACUUAAACGCAACGUUUUGUUGAAGUUGAACUUUUUUAAAAAUUGCUUUUAAGGUCCAAUUCCUUUAUCUGUUGGUAAUCUAACGAAUCUCUCUGAAGUUCACAUGGGAGAAAAUUCACUACUACAUACCUAACGCAUCUACAAGUGUAGAAAGAACUCUUACUAUUCAUAACGGUCAAGUACCAGUCCUGCAACUCAUAAUGGUCAAGUACCAGUCCUGCAACCCGCUUCAACGUUCUAAGGACCACAAAUGAUAAGAUCUGAUACCUGUAAUUCCAAUUCUCGUAAUCUUUGAUGAAUCUCCAUAAUCUUUAGAGAUUCUUGUGGUGUACCCCUCCCGUGUUAUCAUUCACAGCUUCGUAGGGCAAGGCAAGUUCACCAUCUCUCUGAGAAAGAGGAGCGUAAGAAAAGGAGGUUCUUUUCCCAUCUCUUUUUGGCAAUGGGUUAAGGAAUUUAGGGCUGGAAGAGAUCUCAGAGUGGAUUGGGCAGCAUUAAUGGCAUGAGCACAACUGUGAUCUUGAUCUCCUCGCGUCGGCUUCUUGCUCUCUUUCACACAGUCUUCUCAAGUCACUAAUGGCACAACAACAGGAACGAGUACACAAUUGAAUAAAAAAGGGAAUUCACAAUAAGGUGGCAAGAUCCUUGUCCGUGGCAAAUCUAUGUUGUUGGCUAUUGUCUUUUCGUAGGAAAUAAUCAUCAACUAUGAGAAUUCCCUAAGUCUACAAGGGAAAUCAGGGCAACUGGGAGAGGAAAGAUCUUAAGGUUGAGGCUGAUUGGUGUCGAAAAAGGUUAUCCACUUUUGGCUACUAUUACUUCUCUAAUCUAAAUAAAGAACGUCGGGGCUUUCUGGUGAUUUCUAUAUAAUAAAACACUUUGAGAACUUGACAUAGAGUCGGUGAUCCUGCUUUCAUUGCAACACAAUUCGGAGGUCUGGAAUGUAAUUAAACCAUUACUUUAGCUUCGUAAAUAAGUUUACGUACGGUGAGCUGUCUGGGAAUCCAUACAAGAUCGGAGUACCCACAAGACUUGCUAAUUUACUGAGAGCGCUUCUCGUCUACAUGCGCAGAGGCAAGUUGGGGGAGGGUGAUCAAGAGGAAAAUAGUCUCUAGCCGAUCAUUCUCCUGCCAGAUUUACUUGGACCAUUUAAUUUAGUAGAACUAUGCCCUAGAGUGACUAUGCUGUGCGCUUUCGAGAAGAUUCAAACCUAUCUGUUUGAUUUUCCGGUCUUGGUACUGUUAGUUUUUCAGGGAAGAUCACUCUUGCUAUACCUCUCGCUCACGAAACAUUCCAUAGGAUGCGAGUAGCGGUACAUUAUAUUAUAGGCAGCUUCAGUGUUUUGAUAGAACUCAAGCGGUUGAUAUAGCUAAGGAAAACCAUAAGAGUGAGGGAUUGAAUUUCCAUGUAGGAGUAUUGGCUUUGGCAAGCAAGUCAAGGACAAAAGAAGAGGAUAUUCAAAGUUCCCUGAGUUUGAUGGUAGUAAGUUAGAUGUCACAAAUAGGAAUUCAUGGCCGCAUGUAUGUGCUAAAAGAAGAUCAAAAACCGAACCGGGGAAUCACUUACACUUAAUAAGAAAUUCUAACUAUCUAUUGUUCAAAACUCAAAGUACCACAGAAGAAAUAGAAUGAAAUGGUUAACUAAGAAUGAGAGAAUGAAAAAGCUGAGUAAUAAACAAGGAUUGGUUUGCUAUUUAUGAUGACGAAGAGCUGGUACAAGCCUCCUUCAGGAAAUGACCCUGCGAUGAAUGCAAUCUACAUUCUUCCAAGAUGGUAUAUGACAGAAAGAAAGUGGUGCGAUGAAUUAGUAUCAUUUACUAGUCAUUCUAAAACCGUUCCAAUUCAUUUCACAUUUCAUUACCUAGAGCCUGAGAGGGGUCACUGCUGAGAGGGUUCAUACUAUACCUAUUACUAUGGAUUGGAUGCGGAUGCUUCAUCUAGCGCAUACCAAAUAAAGCCAGCCGGGUAUCAUAGGAGACAGGGGAAAAAGCACUUUCAAAUGACUAAAAACUCCGAAUCAUCUGAUUGAUUCAAAAAUGUUAGUAGUAAUUGAAUUGCGUAGGGAACCCUUUCAAAGCUUCUGUUUCAUAGUCUACCGAGUAGCAGUUCCAGCAUUAUCCGAAUCAGCAUUGCGCCAGAAUCCAUUCAACCAAGAAAGGCGUAAGCGCUAGCUGAUCUGAAACGAAAUAAAAUAGUUCUUUCCAUUUUCCCAGCCGGAAAGCCCUGGGACGGCAUAUGUGACAUCAAGUUGACGCAUCCAUCCUCUGGACCAAAAAAGAGGAGUUUGCCGAACAGAACAAUAGUUCACUGCCAGAUAUCUUUUCUAAUCAAUCAGCAAGGAAUUGAUAGAGAGAGAGAGCCCUGCGAAAGGAGUAGCUUCCAGCAUCCUCCCUUGACAGUGACUUUCGGAGACUUGUCUAUAAGUAAGUCCAUUUCUUCUUGUGGGACAUCGAGAGACUUUCCUCUCUCUCCGAUUGCAACUAAUAUCAUCCUAUCUUUCCUCUCAAUUAGACCAAUCAGAAAGAUUCCCUAUCUUAUGUCAUUGGCUGGAGAAGAUUGAUAGAUAGGCUAUCAGUGCACUCUUCUGGGUGGGACCAGAACUUCCUACUCGUUCUCGCACCCCAGCGCUAUGCUCCAGGCGCAUCUUGGCACUCAAUUGGAAUGAGUCCGAAGAACACUUGCCCCCCUCACCGGCUUUGUCAGAUCUGUCUUUCGGCUGGACAGCUUCCGCUGCUACUUUGAUAUUUACUCCGACGCUUGUUCCUAGAUAUAAAAAGAAGUACUUUAGUCUACGAGUAUUAGGUGGCACUGCUGCUUUCUUUGCUAGCUCACCCGAAACUCUGUCUUCAGGAGGAAGAGACCAGCGUCCAUAUGGACGACGACGACUGGAACACCCUCUCGCCCAUCCAAGAGAUCCCAUCUCCUCACUUACCAGAGGAUGAUGAAGGGAGGCAAGAUGGGCAUGGGCCAACUCCACCCACGGCUUCUUCCAGCCACCUUCCGGUAGAGGUAAGAGAAGGAUCGCGAAGAAGGAAAACUGCAGAUCAGGCAGAGGAAAGACACAUACGCCCCCGCCUUAAUGAAACAAAACAACAGGAGUACAGUUAUGGUGAGAAAGAGUUCUCAAAUAUUGAUAAAAUAAAAAGAAAAGAAAGAAGAGAACGAAAGGAGAACAGAACUUUGUAUUUGGUAACUCUCCUGUAGUUAUGUUUAACCUUGAAUGCAAUUUAUAAAUUCGACAGCAAUAGUCCCUCGGACUCUAAAAGUAAUAACGAAAAUGGCUAAUCCAAUAGCAGAUUCCGCAGCUGCCACUGUUGGAACUAAUGAAGCAAAUGAUUGACCCAUCAUAUCAUCCAAAGAAACGGAAAAUACCAAAAAGUUCAAAUUGACAGCUAAUAACAUUGAUUCAAUUGGCAUUGACAUAAUAAGAAUAUUUCGUCUAUUAAGGAGGAUUCCCCGAAUACCUAAAAUAGAGAUGAUCAUAGAAAAAGUGAAAUAUUUUAUAGGAUCCGUUUCGGAAACAUGGAAUGUCAGAGAAAUUCAAAUUAUGUAAGGCUUAGAAAGAAGUCCUGCGUAGAGUCCAGGGAGAGCCUAUUUUUCUUUUUUCUCUAGUUACCCUCUCAAACAACGCGUUUGAUUUCCUUCCUUAUAUAAAAUUCCAUCUUUCUCUUGCCGAUCACAUCCAAUUUCGUCGGAAUACAUCCUGUCUUUUCACCAUAUGAUAUGAUAUGAUAUGAUAUGAUAUGAAUAGUAGUCCUAUGCAUUACCCAAAAUAGAUUCUAUGAACCCGAUUCUUAUCCGCUAUUGAAUGAUUUAUCUCCGAAUUAGUCCUUCCUCUCUAGUCCUCUAGAAAUCGGGCUUCCUCGCUUAGUAGCUCCUUUAGUUUCCUACUAUGUGGGGAUUUUGAAGAUGGGCUUGCAGCGGAUUCAACCGAUCGAUUCGCCGUGGCAUAUAGAGAUGGGCGAAGCAAAAAAGGUGUUUUCAUGUUCCAUUACAAAGCCAACCCCCGAGGAAGAAAGGUAAGUUAGAAGCAUACCAGGAUAUAUACUCAUAGUACCUUCCAUACUUAUCUCCGGUAGAACUAACAAAAUAGAAAACUAUGACUAGUAGACUCAUACGAAUGCUCUCCUUCUCCUAGCGACGCUUCGCGCCUACUUGCCUCAGUUGAUGGAUGGCCAAAGUAAAGUGCCCACUGCCUUUUUUCGGUUGCGGGAUGCUCUGGCACAUAGCUAUUCAGGUCAGGCUAGCCCUAAGACCAUGCUUUUCAUUUCCGUCCUGCCCACUACCAUUAGUUAGGCAUUUAAGCUCAGACCAGCCCAACCUCUUCAUGGUCACAUCCCCUUUUCCGACGCUUUUAUUGUUAUAGACCGCUCACUACCCCUUUCCUUCUCUAUGUAAGACUAAAUAAGGAAAUACAAAGAAUGGAAGAAAGGGCCAAAGCAAUUGUUUGUCUUGCAUUGCAGCAAUCAAACCAAAAUCAAGUAUUAAAGGCUGUUGAAACACUUCUUUUCUUGGGAUGGGAGCUAGGCUACCAAAGCUGUUUCAGUCCCUGCCCAUAAUUCAGCACAUAAGGCAGACCUUGAACCAAGGUUAUACAUAGAUCCUUUGAUCUCCACGGCACUGACUAUACCACCGGCACUCUAGAGGCACAGGGCGAAGAGUAAGCAUCUAACUGAAGUUUGACAACUUGGAAAGAUGGCCCAGCCAAUGUUAAUGAUUCUUUUAUCUGGGAUAACUUGCUGGGAAUUCACUAGAGCUCCUGAAGCCACUUGAUCCUUAUAGAGGUCUAUCAUUUGGUUUGGCUAAAAAGAUCCCUGCGUGCAUUGUCUUCAUUACCCAAAUAGAAAGCAUUCCUGUACCGGCAGUGAAGUUCGUGCUAAAUGACCGAACGAAGGUAUCCGCUUGCGAGUCUGAUCAAAGAGUUGCCGGGUUCAUUAUGCUCUUCUUCCUGAAAAUGGGAAGUAUUAUGAAGUUUAAGUCCUGUGCUGUAGUUAAUUCCCUUUGUCUUAAGUGAUCUAUUAGAGAGCUUCCCUGUGACCGCCCGAAGGGUAAGAAAGAGAUGCUCCGUGUAGCUAACCCCAAGUCUGGUAACCUUUGAAAAUAGGUUUCUGACGUCACUGCCUUUCAUGCCAAGCUUGACGCUCUUGCUCUUGCACAGGCGGUGGGUGGAUCAAUUUGUGUAAACGAUCGCUUUCUUUCUAUGUCUCCCAAUCGAUGCGGUACUGCCAAUCGUAGACUGGUGACCGGGGAAUGAGAGCUCCAUACACCAUGAUUCAUGGAGUCUUUCCUCUCGUUUUUAGGUUGUUUGUGUAUAUACCCAACUGUAGGUCACCUAUGUGACCAAUCCUCACCAUUGGUUUCACAGCACUUAGUAAGCAUACGUUUGAAGACCGAGUUGGUUGAUUUGGUCUGUCCAUUCGCUCUAGGAGGGGCUCGACUUCCUUUGAGCUAUGAGAAAUGGGAGCGCCUUCUUCUUUUUUUUCAGGGAUCUCCUUGGCUACAAAGAGAGCUAUGGAGCCUAGCUGAAAGCUUGACAAGGCCUAUUUAGUGUAUUCGGCCACCCAACCACUCGCAGAAAGAAAGGGGCAUUCAAAACCUGACAGGGAUUCCUUCUCCUAGGGUUGCUCUGAGGUAACCGCUCGUCUUGAUGCUGGCAGUCAAGAAGGCAAAGAGUUGACUUCUACUUUUGAAGUGUAAGGAGUUGACCUUCCUUCGCCUAUCUCGGAUUCUGCUACAGAUUGGAACAAUAGUUCACAUUCGCUUGGGAAUACCAAAUAGAAUGCAGUCGAGACAACCACAAGUAGAGGAACGACCGACACAGCUGGCAUGCCCCCGCAACCUUCGAUCCAUCUAUCUAAACAUCGUUCUACUACAGAACUGAGUUCAUCAUAGCAGCCAGCCUCGGUAAGGUUAACUAGCAACUUGACUCACUGCACUCGAAAAAGAUAGCAAAGCGACAAUCGGUCGGUAUGGGUGGAACCUAGUAUAGCUGCGCUUUCUUUUCUUCUUCUUGGUCUAGUCUAUCUACCCGUCUCUAAGUAAGCCCCUCACCUUCCCUUUUUGGAGUAGAGGUCAGAGGCUAGUGCGGGUAGCCCUGUCGGAAACUAGAAAGAAGAGGCUGAUGCACCUGCCCGGCGGUGGGUGGGUUCAGCUCGAUCAACUGGGAUAGGAGUUUUUUCUCUAUCUUGCUCCAUGGUGUUCAAGCAGUGCGUCCAGAAAGCUGUGAUUCAUGGGAGGGAGCAGCUUCAAUAGCUUUGGCUGUGAAAACUCUUGGUCUUGGAGCAUCAGUGUCAUCAGUUCACCCAAGAUCAGCACAGGACAAAUAACUACUAGGUUUGUGCCAGAAAAGCGUCUUGCGUGACGGGGAAAGAGUGGAAAAAGAAAUAGAUUCAUCAGCUAUGGAAUCUGACAGGUAUCGGUAUUGAACAGAGGGGGCUGUUCACAAAGCAUCCCAUGGUGCGCUCCGAGGAGGGGAAAAAAGAUACCACACACAAUUCUGAAACUCGAAAUCCGUUCCUAGAAAUCCGUGAAAUCAUUGUUCUGGGUCACCUUGGCUUUUGUGUUCCGUAGUGACUAGGGGAAGUUGCCCGGCUUGGUAUCUCUCCUACUUCUUGACCUUGCUUCUCACCAUUAGGGGAUAGAGUCUAGUAGUUCCUCCCAUGCCAAGGAAACUUCUAUCGAUUGGCGCCGUUGGUUGGAAAUUUGCAUAGCAUUCCCACGCCUCGUUCUUCAUCAGCUUGGUGCCGCUUCAAUUACGAGGUCUGUCAGCUUCCAUCUCCCGAUGUUGCUACUCGUAUCCAUUCCUCCCUGGAACCUGUUGCGAAGAGCUUGCAAAGGUGCCAAGGUUGCCUGAAUCGAAUCAAAUAAGAGCUCUGCCUUCUUGACUAGCUAUUCGUGCUGCUCCGCUAGCUGGUGACUUGCCUGUCCCCUCAUACAUACUUACUUAGGUCUAGACCCCUAUUCGCUGACCACCGGGCUCCAUCUUUCUAGUAGCAAGAAAAAGCCUAUACUACUUCUGAUUCCAUACGCAACGCAUACCUCUAGAGUGUAGCAGUGACUUCUUUCUCUCUCUAGUUUAGCAGUGACUUCUUUCUCUCUCGGUGAUCCCUUGGUUGGAUACUAUUUGCAUGUUGACUAGUGGGAAUUCCAGCUAUCCCUUUCCAACAACUAGACAAGUUCGGUGCAUCUAGACUUUCUUUUUGACCGAUAUACUGAACCUAUUCCUUUCAAGCCAACCGAUUCAAACUCGUAGAAUGACUUGACUUUCGAACAAGACUACGGCACUCCUUCCUCGAGAACUGCUUUCGCUUCCAGCUAUUUAAGGCAAGACAAGAGCGGAUCGGCUUUUCCUUGCUACAGAGGAUUGAAGCUCUUUCCACACUGAAGAUCGGAUCCAUUCCAGCUUCACUUCAACCUUGCCAGCUCUAUUGCUGGGAUUCCAGAAGUUAUAUUAAUGGAUUUGCCACCUGGCUCGCUUCAAUGGAUGAGUCGGGCUAGGGUGAUGACUCGGGCUCGGGAGUUUCCAGUGAAGGAAAAGUCUCGUAUUUCUUGAUCUAGUUCCUACCAUUUCUGAUCCGGAUCUAGCUAGAUGAGUAGUUAGUUUGGGAAACAAGGGUGCCGAGCUGAUGUGUUAUCAUAUCAUAUUUGAAAGGAAGUCAGCUAUUGAAUCAGCAACUAGUCUGGUGUUGAUACGCCGCGAUGCCUUUGCUUCACAAAAGACACAGUGAAAGAAGCCCACAUGCCCACUCUUCUUUCCCCCCCUCACCUCAACCGUAUAGUAGAUGGGUUUGGGGGGCCUCGGUUUCCUAUGCCUACACCAGUGAAUUUCUUUACCUCUUCGUACGCUCCCAAUCGCAGAUUUGAAUAAUCAAGUCGGUAUGGGGCUGCUGCCUUUUGUUACUCCGGAAAUAUUGGCUUCGCCUGUACAGAUUUUCUAGGGCCUGGGCGAUUUUUACCCGCUUCUCGGCGCUCGCCGUUUCAAGGUGAAGAUCCUCGUAAGUAGAGCGUAAUGUGCUCUCCCUAGGGUUCCUAUCUCGACAGGACCUUAGAACUGUUUUAAUUCUUUUCUUUAAGAACGCAAUGGAUGGUACUUCAGGUUGCGCCCCAUUUAUGGGCGGCUCUGACUCUUUGCCAUUGGCGUCUUGGCGGGACACUUUUUUCCGCUUAUCAUCAUCCUCAGAAUUAGGCGUAGCGGAAGCACUCGACGAGGCCUCUACGACAGCAUGGGCUCUUCCCCGUUUCUGGCCGGACGAUUCCAUAAAUACUUUGGUCAGAAGUAAGACCAAACCGAGAGUGAGUAGCAUAGACAUAGACAAGGAUAGAUUUGUGAAUGAGACAUAGUACUCACCAAUAUUCAGAUCCAGAAUUGGGUGAAUUCCAAAUUGAUAUUGAUCCAACGGGCUGUUGAGAUUAGGUAGGUUACCAAAAUACCCUCUGCCUUGUUGGGCAAUCAAGUAGUCCCAGUUGCCCUCGGCAGACAUUCGGGCGUGCAGAUCUUGUAUUCUCUGACCAAAACAACUACGUCCCUGAGGUGUGUGAAUCUCCUCGAGUAAGGAGCGCCAAAAAGCGUCGUAGUCCGCAAUCGCACUCUCACGCCGGAUACCAGAGAAUAGAUUCACACGGAAAGCGCUUAUUUCCUGUACUGACGGGAGAUUCAGGUUCCUCUCACGCAAGAUACCUUCCAUUUCUCUAAAUAAGGGGAGGGCUCGGAGUACCCUAUGCACAUCCUCCACCGAUUCCGAUUCUCGAUUUAGUGGGAUUCCAGGCAUCCCACGAGUUGCAAUCAUAAUGGGUUUACUACUUGAUAAUAGCAUUUUUCUAUCCGUUAAUAAAAAUAUCAUCGUACUUGACAAUUCCAUCUUUUUCAGCUCUGCUCCCAAAAGAGAAAGGAGACUAGACUGAUCCAUUCUUGACGUCGGCGUUGGUUUUUCCAACGAAACGAAAAAAAGAACAUUCGAACAAAUAGACUUGAUUCCAUGACAAAACAAAAUGCUAGUUCUAACGAACAGCGUUUGUCCCAUCGACUUUACUUUGGCCAAUGAUACUACUACUACUAUAUACUAUAUACUAUAUACUAUAUACUAUAUACUAUAUACUAUAUACUAUACGCGUUUUCUGAGGAGCAACAUGAGACUUGAUUUUCCUAUAGUCUGGCUACUAUACUAUACUAUAGAACCCUGGGCCAUGUUUCCCGAGAGAGACUGCCUUCUCUCAGGCCAGCAGUCUUAUACUUAUAGUCGACUGCUCUAUGACGAUCUGACCUCUUUCCUGGGCUCUGCUCGCUCGUCUACGCUCCGACCAAUUCAGUCAAAAUCGAAAAAACGAUGUUUCGUCUAAGAAUAAGAAAUAGUAGUAGUAGUAAAAAAGUGCACUUUUUCCAUAUAUUUCGAGGGAUCCCUAUCUUUAUCUCUAUCCACAGAGAUACCUAUCUAUUCUAUUCUAUAUAGAGAGAGAUUUUUCUAAAAAUUGAUCUAGACUAUCCUCUCCUCUAUCCGGAUAGAUAUGUCCCUAUGAGCGACUAGGCCGAUCUUUUUUUAUAUGUUUUGGCCACGUCCGUUUCCGCUCCGAAGAGGAAGGUUUGGAUCUUUCAAUCUUAUGUCGUGAGGGAUGUGACCUAUGUUAGGUCCAUAAGAUACCACAGCUUUUAGUGUUCUAUGAUUCACCUCCGAAUAAUGAGUAGGUAGUUCGAUCCUUUUGAUUCUUAUCUUCCUAGUAAUAGUAAACGGGGAUCCGGAGCAAUAGGUCGAAUUUCUAUAUAAUUUGUUUGUGUAAACAAAAGGGCUUAUUGCUCUUUUUCGGUUUUCGUUUUCCUCGAUAACUUUGAGGAUCUCCUCUACCCCUUCCUCUUCCUCCUUCCUUCUUUUCCAUAAGAAGAAGUAUUUGAAAUGAAACAAAUUCCUCUUCAUUCUGUUGUGCUCAGCGAAGGAACUGCCUAAGCAUACUUUUGCGGAUCCAAACUUCUUUGUUCUUUCUAAGUCUUCUUCUUGCAUAUAAGAACGCAACUCUUGCAAAAACCCGGAUUUUAGUAGUAAGCGGCAUCCCCUCUGAGUUGUGAGUAAGCGGAACCAUUCUGUUUUUGUUCUUCUCCAGAUUCUGACCGGUAGGAAUUUGCCUAUGAUUUUUCCAACUGAUAUGUCGAUAUAGAAAGAUCUCCUUAUUUCUUCACCGCGGGUUCUCGCGUCAUUUUCUUUAAAAGAUAUUAGAUCACCAUGGGAAACUUUAAAAUGAGUAAUGGUUACCAGUCCAUUAUUCAAACAAACCCUUCGAUGACUUAUCGGCUGCCUUGCUUGAGGAAGAGUGUCACUAAAACGGAGACGAACCGGAAUCACGUCCGAUCUUGUUUCUUGAUUGAGUAAAAAAGGGAUAUAUGAAGUUCGUUCUCUUCCUCUGUGCAUCUCCCUUAUGGGUAAAUCCCCAUAAUAAAGGGACAACUUUCGUGUAGUUUGUGAUUUGAUGUUACUGUUUAGAUUUUCUCUCUGAGAAAGAUUUCUUUUAAUGGAUCUCCUCUUGUUCCUCAAUCUUCGGAGAAUGCGGCGUUGGAUUAGAGAAAGUUCUCUGUUCCGAACAUUUCCUGGAAGUAGACGGCACGUUUUAAAUCUUAAUGCAGGCAUAUUUCGUUGAAUCAGUCUUUUUCGCCACAUCGCGUAUAAAGGGAAUCGAACCCAACUCUUCCACGAACCCCCCACGAAUGGUCCUCCCUUAACUCAAUGAACUUUGAGAAUUCCUUUGCCUAGUUUUUUUCUUUUCAGUUCUCAUAAGUCCUUGAUAUACUAGCCUCAAUACUUGACCGACUGCGUCACAGUGCUCAGGUAAAGUGGCAGUGGUUGAAAGCGAGCGGAAACGUCAGUGUUUUCUGUGCGUUACGAUAGUAGUGGUGAAAGAAAAUCCAAUUCAAAUAUCUCAACGUAAAAGGAAAAUCGUUUCACUUUGAUUUGAAAAGAAAGACUCCAGCUAGCUAUAUGAGAUCGAACUUCUUCCAUCACUCUAUCUACGAUAUUCAUUGCACCAUGAUUGAAGGCCUACGCAUCUUCUUUCGGGUAUUUCUUAUUGGUUGACAUAAAUUAUAGACACCGUGGGGACGUCAUCUAGACAAAAAGGGAAACGAUUUAUGAUAGAUUACCAUCAAUCCCAUCUUAUGGUGUUACACCCAUGGACUAAAGAUACUAGUCUUCCUACAUUGCAUCUAUUGGGUUGAGAGAGGAUCUCCUUUCUCCUAAAAAUCCUCCUUGUCCAUGAUACUUACUUGCAAUCAAUUCAUAGUCUUCCCAAGUAGCUUCUAGGUUGGACCAAUGAAUGAGCACUUGUGGUACCGCUGCAUUUCUGGAACGGCUACUGCCUACAUAACUUGUCUUCCUCUUUUCAAGGAAGUCAGUAUCAGACCAUAUGUAGUUCUCGUCUCGAGGGUCUUACUUCCUUUUUCCCGGACCAAAGAAAAGAGAUAAUUUAUUAGCCUUCUCACAUGGACAUAAAGACACGAGUUAAUCAUUCGCAUGCAGCCUCACAUAAACAACAAAUAACAAGCGCAUGCAGCCUCACAUAAACAACAAAUAACAACGCGCACAAGCUUAACACUCAUAUAUUUUUUUAGAUAAUAUGGACAUAAGAUUCCCCUCUUACCCCUAACUAACGAUUAUGCUGCUCUCGUCCUGUUUUUCCAUACUUCCCGCAGCGCAAGAAAAAGAAAAACUAGAAAUAGGAACAAACCGAGACCGAGAGCGAGAGCGAGAGGGUGAAUGCCAAAUUGAUCCAAAGGACUCUCCGCUAAAUGCAUCGCAGCGAAAUUUGCCGCUAAAUUCUCAUUCGCUAGCUCAGCUAUUCCGUACUUGAAGGCUUCACUUUCAGUGCCAUUUGCUACUAAAUCCCGGAGCUGUGAUCGAAGAAAUCCUAUAUUAGCACUCCCCCCAUGUAUUCGUUCGGCUGCAACUAGAAUCUCUUGGUGAUCCCUGCCGGGCAUUAAUUUGGCCAUUUCCUCGCGUAUAGCCCCUUGAUAUUCUACGACCCUUUCAUCGGUCGGGUUUGGGGAUGGCCGAUUUACGGACGAAGAGGAAGAGGGAGUACCACUGUCCGUUAAGAAUACUCCUUUCACGGAAGAAGGGGAUGGCUGGUUCACAGAAAAGGAUGCUAAUGGCGAGGGUUGAUUGACAGAGGAAGAGGAUGCUAAUGGCGAUGGUUGAUUGACAGAGGAAGAGGACGAGGGAGUCCCAAAAGAAAUGAAUCCUUCUGAAGAAGAAGGACUAUGAGAGUGUAGACUAGAAUUGCAAGACAAAAAAGACGAUGAACUGGUGCUACUGGCACUCCCUCCCGAAAGAUCACCCAUUUUAUUUCUGAUAUCCAACAUGAGAAGAUCUUCUGGUCUAGAAUUAGUCGUUUUUUGCAUUUCUUUAUUUGGUUGGGAAAGGAAAGAAGAGAUCGCGAACCGCGCCCACACAAUCUCUUACACAGCAACACUGCUUGUCAAGUUAAGUAGCGACCUGCAUACAGGGGACCCCCUCGUGCCCCACCCCAAGGGCUGACUCUUCUUUCAUUACAUACGAUUUUUGUUACUGAUCAAAUUUGAUUAAUGGAUGUCUCAGAAGACAGGCUUUCUCCGACAAGAAAGAUGAGAGGAACCGUGGAGUUGGACCAAUACGUUGGAAUAGAUAGCUCUGUUGCUUACUUUCAAGCUUUAGAUAGCUCUGUUUGUUACAAGCAAAGAAGAAAAGAUAUAGCUUUAGUUUUACACCAGCUACGCCCUUCCCCAUUGCAACGUUGUUGGUUUUCGUUUUAUUUUUGGAUCCAUGCAAGCCAUUUCCUGUUGAUAGGAAGGCAGAGUAACAAGUUGAUUUCGAGUACCAUACCUCCUUUCCGGUUCACAGACAGAUCGAGGGUCACACCUUACACUUGCGUCACCUGCCUGCCCUUCUCGGUUUAAUUGAAUAAGACCUAGGACCAAGGAUGCAUUUUUUGAAUGGAGUCUUCUCUCUAAAUAUUUCCGGGAAAUAUACCGGGUCAAACCUUCCGAGCUAACUGGACCCUACCCUUUUUCAGAGAAUCAUUCCUCCCCCACUCUCUGCCCUUCUAAAAAGAAAAUGCAUUCCUUCGCACUGUGCUUGACUUUCGCUCUUAUAGCACUCUUUUCCUUAAUGCCUGUUGGCUCUAGCACUGUGCUCUUUGCUUCUAGUCUCGCUAGCUAUGAAACUUCCACUGAAAAAGAAGAAUUUCCACGCCCACCAACUGCAGAAGCUCAAUCAAUGGCCACUACCGACAAGGGGACAAUAGAGCUGCAUUGAACACGCAUCCAGCACCUCGAGUCACUACCAACCAGAAAACGAGCGAUAUAGGAGGUAGACUGCCCGCUCCACAACGAGUGAAGAGUGCCGUAGAGCUGGAGACAUAUCCUUCCUGAAAGCCAAUCGAUCUGAUCUGUUGGAUAGUGCCUGAAAAGCUAUUCCUCGCUAGCGCUGUCUUGUCUGUUCCUGUUCUGGAUUGGGGCACGGGCUUUCUGUAGAUUGGGAAUUGCUGCUUCAACAAUAGGAGCACAGGGCUAACGCCUCUUUGUUUAGGUUUUAGAAAAGUAGAAAGGAGAAAAUUGGACUUUCAGAACUAAUAACUAUAUUCUUUGUCUGAUUUCUUUAAUUGUCCGAGUUCUCUCAUUAAUGAGUUGGCUCGGCCAUCAUCAAGUAGUGAAUCCCCUCUCGGGGAAGUCCCAUUUCUUUCUGAACGGGAGUCGGAGUUUCUACAAAUUGUAUUGGAAGUGGUAUUUGUAGAUUGUGUCAGUGUUUAGCCAAGAUGUCUCCCUUUGCGAAACGAAUCCAAGGGCGGAGUGUUAUCGCUUGCGUCGGUCCCACCCACCCUUGGGAGGGCCCGCCGGCCUUAUCCUUAUCCUUAUAGUGAUCUCGCUUUGAAAAGAGGACUUUCAUAACAAGUGGAGUCGUCUUGUGGGUAUCAACAAGAAAAACCCUUCUCACAUAAGAGCUCAAGAAUAGAUGCCUUGCCCCGAGAACAGGGAUUUGAACCAUUGGACUUUUCUAGCUGUCCUGCCACUGGGUUCCAAGUUCGUACGUAGUCUAGUCCAUUUCUAGGCAGGAAUUGCAUUUUAUGACAUUGGCCCGUUCCUCAAUACAAUAGUUCCGUAGUGCCAGGUGGGAAGCAUCCUUCUUUGAAUAUGAUGAUGGGCUCCCCGGUUUCAAAGAUAAUAAACCUAUAGUUAUAUUACUUGCGUGUUGGUAAGGCGGCUAAGGUUCUUACGUAUCAUAGUUUAGUUCCUUGUUUGUCUAAGAGGAGUUCAUAUAGCCAGUCCAGUAUGGAACCAGAUCCGGAUAUCCGUACUUUUGGUGGUGCGGUUCAGAGCAGAGGAGAGGUUCGGUAGGUUGACAAGAAAGUGCGCCGCUAGCUUUUGUGUGUUCACACAAGGUCAGAAGGAACCUCCGAGUGGAUCCAACAAAGAAUCGAUUCUAUGCCUUCUCUUUCAGUGUUCGUAGGGCUGGAAAUUAUACACGCUGGUAACUAGUAAGCUGGAAUAGUCAGGUUAGGAAUGGAAAAGAAGGAAGGAGGAAGCGAGUUCUCUACUCUAGUGAAGCUAGUGCUAGUUCUGUACUCUAGUUCAGUCCCCAAGGCGCGAGUGAAGCCCUUCUCCAUACCUUCGAUAAACUACUUGCCUCAUGGAAGUUCAAGUUCUCUUUCAUAGAAUGACUGGCUUUACAUAUCUCCUUAUUCGUAGGAAAUGAAUGGGCAGCAACUUAGAACCGAAACCGGAAGGCAAGAAACCGAGCUAUUCAAGAGAGAUCCGGCACAUCACAAGAUAACGAAACAACUUGGAAAGCUAGUUCGGAAAGUUCACCUAUGAAAGCCCUACUCAAUAUUGCCUCGGGCCAGGUCAAUAGAUGAACACAUAGAAGUGAGUAGAAAAAGCAAACUUUAGUGAAUGAAUGCGAUCUAGACCCUGCAACUAGACCGAGCAAGAGGAAAGGAAUGCGAUCCUCAAAUAAAAGAAUCUAUCUAGCACUAGCAGCAAGGAAUGAGAUAGAACCUCGAGCAAGAGAUAUGAGCGUUGAUCUGAUCUUAUGAGAAUACUGCGGCACUCUUUUGGUUCUUCUGAUUUCUAGUCUAGUUUCCUUUCCUUAAGGGACAGGGCGGCGUAGAGCUGAGGAGAGAGACAGAUGGAUGGCAGAUGUGAAUGAAUUGCAAUAUGCAUGCUGCCUGCCACCGAGGAGUAGUAGUAUUGAUGCCAGUGUGGAAGAGUUCGCUGGAUCAUUCUACCGGAGUCAAUCAGUUUGAUUCGUAACAAAUGAGAUUAGUUCACGUAUAACGAGCAUAAAGACGAAUCUAACCGCUAGUUACUCUACUCAUUGGCUCCAUCCCGUUUUUGAGGCCUUCUCUUUUUCGUGAUCUGGGCCAUAAAUCAAUGGUGCCGCAGUCUAUGAAGCAAGAAUGGCCAAUGACAUACGCUAUGGAAGCCGUAAACCUGGAUUGGAAAGCGGAGAUUCUUCUGAGAGAACUGGAACUCUGACCCAAGGCAAGACUUGACUUCUCUGAUCAUCCCUUCCCUGGCGCCUGAGCCCGGCAAUAACAAUAGCAGACAGGUCAGUUGUUCAAGUCCGUCUGGUUGAUAGGUCAGCUCAGUAUAGAAUCUUGUAUGGUAGUCCAGUAAUGACCAGGCAAGUGAACCGGCUUGAGAGACGUAAGAACCGGGAGAACACAGGACGCACGGAAAACUUUCCUGCUCGAGUAACAGAGUCUUGGCUGGCGGAGUUGGAGAAGGGGCACCGACCAGAAGCUAGACAGAAGAAUGACCUUAUUUUCCUUUACUCUCCAUUCCAUUUGUCCUUCAACCGGAUUAAUGGUCAACGACAUUUACAGCCUUUCCUUCACACAAGGUUUUUAAUCCAUCUCCCCUGCUUAGGACAGUAAGGGGAAGUAGCGAUAUUCCGAUUCCUUCGUGGGGAAUCAACGAAGGGUCCAGCUGCUUUAGUACUUAAGUUAACGCCCCAGCCCUUAUCCAGAAGGUAGAUGCGGUAAGCCAACUCCUAUCCUUCUUGCGGAAAGGGCAUUCAAUGCCAUCUGAAUUCCCUUCCUUGCUUCGAGGAGCAGGUCGAAUAGUCAAAGAAGGGGAUGGCUAAUUCCAGGAAUAGAGUAGCAUUCUCAGGCACUACCCUCAGUUGCAGCCUCAGUCCAUAUAAAACAGUCAAUCUACCAGCAGCAGAGGCUGCAGAUACAUGUCCACCACCUGUUUAUCUACUACCAUAAGCGGGAGCAGUUGCAGGUAAAGAGUGUUGUGAGGGCUUUCAUUUGCGCGUUAAGGGCAGUUUCUGUUAUAGCACUAGAAAUCAGUGCCGUUAGUCCCUUCUCGAACAGCAGUUUUAGCAAUUGAAUCAGCUGUUUCCUAAUAGACUAGGCUGUUAGCAGGAUUUGCAGGCGAGACAGAUGAGGAGGCAUAGAAGGAGCAAUUCCAUUAUGUGCUAAAGGCUGCGGAAUAAGAGCUCUUAGUCCUUUCGGCGUAGAGAACGAAUCCUCUGUUGCAAGAAGAAGGGCAAUGCCGAUUGUAAGGUUAAGUAUUACGUACGUCAAAACCAGUCAGUGACUCAUUUAAGUGUUGUGCGAAAAGGUAGCCUUUUGGCAACUGCAACCAUCCAUAGCGAGCGACGGAAGAUCAAUAGGCUGUUUUUUCAUAAGUUGAUAAAAGGAGAGAGCAGCUUAAUGAGAGAAGUAGCAGUGAGGGCGCUAAGCAGGUGUCAAGUUAAUUGGUCUGAGAGCCAAGCCAGCUUUCAAUUUCAAGUAGUAAAAAGCAGGCAUUAAAGUAGGUGAGUAAGUCAAGUUCUCUAUAUGCUUGAAGCUGAUACGCGCCUUUGUUGCCUUCUGUCUUCUUCCCUUUGGUAGUUCUGUUUCCAGCUGAGGAAUUGGAAUAAAUAAGUAAGGCUAACUAAAAGAGAGAAGAGGGUCUACAGUCAUUCUAUCUCAACACUGAAGAAUAGAUUUGCCACCUGGCUCGCUUCAAUGGAUGAGUCGGGCUAGGGUGAUGACUCGGGCUCGGGAGUUUCCAGUGAAGGAAAAGUCUCGUAUUUCUUGAUCUAGUUCCUACCAUUUCUGAUCCGGAUCUAGCUAGAUGAGUAGUUAGUUUGGGAAACAAGGGUGCCGAGCUGAUGUGUUAUCAUAUCAUAUUUGAAAGGAAGUCAGCUAUUGAAUCAGCAACUAGUCUGGUGUUGAUACGCCGCGAUGCCUUUGCUUCACAAAAGACACAGUGAAAGAAGCCCACAUGCCCACUCUUCUUUCCCCCCUCACCUCAACCGUAUAGUAGAUGGGUUUGGGGGCCUCGGUUUCCUAUGCCUACACCAGUGAAUUUCUUUACCUCUUCGUACGCCUCCAAUCGCAGAUUUGAAUAAUCAAGUCGGUAUGGGGCUGCUGCCUUUUGUUACUCCGGAAAUAUUGGCUUCGCCUGUACAGAUUUUCUAGGGCCUGGGCGAUUUUUACCCGCUUCUCGGCGCUCGCCGUUUCAAGGUGAAGAUCCUCGUAAGUAGACGUAAUGUGCUCUCCCUAGGGUUCCUAUCUCGACAGGACCUUAGAACUGUUUUAAUUCUUUUCUUUAAGAACGCAAUGGAUGGUACUUCAGGUUGCGCCCCAUUUAUGGGCGGCUCUGACUCUUUGCCAUUGCGUCUUGGCGGGACACUUUUUUCCGCUUAUCAUCAUCCUCAGAAUUAGGCGUAGCGGAAGCACUCGACGAGGCCUCUACGACAGCAUGGGCUCUUCCCCGUUUCUGGCCGGACGAUUCCAUAAAUACUUUGGUCAGAAGUAAGACCAAACCGAGAGUGAGUAGCAUAGACAUAGACAAGGAUAGAUUUGUGAAUGAGACAUAGUACUCACCAAUAUUCAGAUCCAGAAUUGGGUGAAUUCCAAAUUGAUAUUGAUCCAACGGGCUGUUGAGAUUAGGUAGGUUACCAAAAUACCCUCUGCCUUGUUGGGCAAUCAAGUAGUCCCAGUUGCCCUCGGCAGACAUUCGGGCGUGCAGAUCUUGUAUUCUCUGACCAAAACAACUACGUCCCUGAGGUGUGUGAAUCUCCUCGAGUAAGGACGCCAAAAAGCGUCGUAGUCCGCAAUCGCACUCUCACGCGCGAUACCAGAGAAUAGAUUCACACGGAAAGCGCUUAUUUCCUGUACUGACGGGAGAUUCAGGUUCCUCUCACGCAAGAUACCUUCCAUUUCUCUAAAUAAGGGGAGGGCUCGGAGUACCCUAUGCACAUCCUCCACCGAUUCCGAUUCUCGAUUUAGUGGGAUUCCAGGCAUCCCACGAGUUGCAAUCAUAAUGGGUUUACUACUUGAUAAUAGCAUUUUUCUAUCCGUUAAUAAAAAUAUCAUCGUACUUGACAAUUCCAUCUUUUUCAGCUCUGCUCCCCAAAGAGAAAGGAGACUAGACUGAUCCAUUCUUGACGUCGGCGUUGGUUUUCCAACGAAACGAAAAAAAGAACAUUCGAACAAAUAGACUUGAUUCCAUUACAAAACAAAAAUGCUAGUUCUAACGAACAGCGUUUGUCCCAUCGACUUUACUUUGGCCAAUGAUACUACUACUACUAUAUACUAUAUACUAUAUACUAUAUACUAUAUACUAUAUACUAUAUACUAUACGCGUUUUCUGAGGAGCAACAUGAGACUUGAUUUUCCUAUAGUCUGGCUACUAUACUAUACUAUAGAACCCUGGGCCAUGUUUCCCGAGAGAGACUGCCUUCUCUCAGGCCAGCAGUCUUAUACUUAUAGUCGACUGCUCUAUGACGAUCUGACCUCUUUCCUGGGCUCUGCUCGCUCGUCUACGCUCCGACCAAUUCAGUCAAAAUCGAAAAAACGAUGUUUCGUCUAAGAAUAAGAAAUAGUAGUAGUAGUAAAAAAGUGCACUUUUUCCAUAUAUUUCGAGGGAUCCCUAUCUUUAUCUCUAUCCACAGAGAUACCUAUCUAUUCUAUUCUAUAUAGAGAGAGAUUUUUCUAAAAAUUGAUCUAGACUAUCCUCUCCUCUAUCCGGAUAGAUAUGUCCCUAUGAGCGACUAGGCCGAUCUUUUUUUAUAUGUUUUGGCCACGUCCGUUUCCGCUCCGAAGAGAAGGUUUGGAUCUUUCAAUCUUAUGUCGUGAGGGAUGUGACCUAUGUUAGGUCCAUAAGAUACCACAGUCUUUAGUGUUCUAUGAUUCACCUCCGAAUAAUGAGUAGGUAGUUCGAUCCUUUUGAUUCUUAUCUUCCUAGUAAUAGUAAACGGGGAUCCGGAGCAAUAGGUCGAAUUUCUAUAUAAUUUGUUGUGUAAACAAAAGGGCUUAUUGCUCUUUUUCGGUUUUCGUUUUCCUCGAUAACUUUGAG
rnacentral:lncRNA from 1 species